rnacentral:lncRNA from 1 species
AGAAUAAAAAUAAGUGUUGUGCCCAACGAAUCGAUUUUGGUUAGAAUAAUUAACCGAAUUAAUCAAAUAAUUCUGUUGAUACAUUCGAAUAAUUAAACGUUUCACAAGUACUGAACUAGAUUUUUUGUCAUAACCAAUAAUUUCCACGGGUUCGUAAAAAAUCGAAUCAUUUAAACCAUGAUCAUGAGCAAACGCGUAAAUAUACUCCUGAAAAAGAAGCGGAUAUAGGAAGUGUUGUUGCCGAGAUCUAUCUUUUUCUAAAUAUCCUUGUAAUUCUUCCAUUUACAUUUCUACUUGAGCCAGAGGCAGGAGGUUUUUCUUGGUUUAUCAAAUGAUACAUACAUAGUGCAAUAUGGUCAGAACAGGGUAUUAUGUAUUGUAUUAUGUAUAUACUAUAGUAAGAAAAAAAUAUAUACCCCGGAAACAAAACAGGGAGUCCAAUCAACAGAUCUUUUUACCUUCCUUUUCUAUCCAAUUGGUUUAUGUUCGUUAUAAUUACAACAGGAGAAAAAAUCCUUUAUUUUUGCAACCCAAUUGCUCUUUUGACUUUGGAAUAAAUUCUCUUUAUCAAUAUACUGUUUCUUCUACACAUCCGCCUACAAUCCAUAAUAAAGAAUAAUUAGGAUUCUGAAAAAAAAAGAAAAAAUCAAUGGUUCACUCACAGGAGAACCCACUCUUUCCCGCAUUAGGCACUAAUUCAUUUUUAACGUCUAAUUAGAUCGGGUAAUCAUUCCAAUUAAGAACAUAAGCUCGUUGCUUUUUAUUUUACCAAAAUUGGAGCCAUAGAGCUCUAUCCAUUUAUUCACUAGACCCAAUUUGUCCCCUUCCUAAAAUCAAAACAAUCUUUUGGAACUGUAACGAUCCGGUAAGGAUAAACUCAAAGUUCUACUUUAACUUUGACUUUCAUUUCAAAUUAAAUAAAUUAAUAAAAUCAAAAUUAAAUAAAAUAAUAAAUUAAUAAAAUAAGAAAUUGAUUUUAUUACGACAUGCUGUUUUUUCCAUUCAUUACCCUUGAGGAUCAGUCGUGGUCUUAUAGACUAUACCAAUAGUCUGGACGAAUUCGUUGCUUCAUCCAAAUGUGUAAAAGAUCAUAGUCGCACUUAAAAGCCGAGUACUCUACCGUUGAGUUAGCAACCCGGAUAAAUAGGAUAUGUAGAUACGAUCGAAAUACAAAAAUCAAUAGAAUUGCACCGCACGACCCUAUCAAAACAUUGAACUAGCAACACAUCGAAAAGAAAGAUUUUCUGAUCAAUUAUAAACACAAAAUACCAAAAUGAGCAGAUCGGAUUAAAAAUAUUCCCAAUCGAAAUGUAAAAAUUAUGACAGACCACCCAUUUUUUAUCAAAUUCUUUUUGGAUUUUACUUAAGAAAAUACAUCUUGUAUGAGAGUAAAUGCAGCAAGGCAAACCCAUCAUUUGAGUGAAGGAAACAAAAAAACCAAUAUGGGGUGGGGAUAAACAGCCCUCUUUAUCUACGAUCGAAUUAUAUUUGUUCGAUACACCAUUGUCAAUAUAAAUGCAAUGUUGAGAAAAUAAAUCAAGUAAAUAAAAUAAAGACUUGUGUUGGAUUGGCACAACAUAAACAUAAAUAAGAAAUUGAAAUGGAAAAAAUUAAGGAAAAGGUAAAGAAAAAAUCCCCGGUUUAUUCAAUCAAUAAAAGUACGAUAAGCAAGCUUAACCCCUUGUUUGUUGUUAAAUUCAAUUCCCCCACCAAAAUAUGAAUAAAGCAAGAAAAAGGCAAAUGGUGUGUAAAUAUAAAUAAUUACACAAGGAUAGAUACUAGUUACCCUUCCCUACUUUAUUUUAUUUAUUUAUUUUGUUUUUUACUUUAAUUAACUCGAAGUUCUUUCUUUAAAGAAUUCUGCCUUCCUUAAAAUAUCAUAAACAGUUCCUGUAGGUUGAGCACCUUUUUCAAAGAAAUAUAGAAUAGCAGGAACGUUUAAAUAAGUUUGAUUCUUUAUCGGAUCGUAAAAACCCACUUUUCGAAGAUCUCUUCCUUCUCUUCUGGAUCGAACAUCAAUUGCAACGAUUCGAUAGAUGGCUCAUUGGGAUAGAUGUAAAUAAACAACGCCCCCCCUAGAAACGUAUAGGAGGUUUUUUCCUCAUACGGCUCGAGAAAAAUGAUUCUAAUUUCUGUAUAUAAUAGCAAGUGGAUCCAUAAAAUCAUGAAUUUGACUAUGAUUUGAAUUUAGUACUUUUUUCUUCUUCCUUACAGAAAAAGGAAGAAAUCUCAUUCAUACUCAUAACUCAAGUUGGGUAAUUCUGACAAGAAAAUCCUUAGACAUUUAUUGAGCCGUCUCUAAACUCUUUUGUUUGUCUCAUUUCGAAUCUAUUUUUAUUCCUCAGUCUGAUCCAAUUGUUGAGACAAUUGAAAAUAGUGUUUCCUUGUUUCGGAAUCCUUUAUCUUCGCUUUGUGAAAUCAUUGGGUUUAGACAUUACCUCGGGGAUCCUUAUUCCUUUCAAAAUGGCAGCAACAUACCUUUUUUUGUUAUUUCUUUCUAUAUAAAUAGAAUACGAACGAUUGAUUCCCUUGUGAUACACUUUUCAUCGAAAUAGUUUUACCAAUUUCGAAAAAUUGGACUUUGCAAACUUGUUCUGAAUUUGAACCUUUCAAUUUAGAAUUUAUAUAUAGUGAGGAUAUACUUACAAAGUUGGUCUAACUUAUUGAUUUUCACUAACCCUAGAUUCUUUCCCUUGAAAAAUGAAUCAAUCUUUUCUUCUCGAGCUUCAUAAUGUACUAUUUACUUAUAACCCAACACAAAUUAGGUUCCGGGCAGAACAAACUAUGUCGAGCCAAGAGCAUCUUCAUUACUAUAGAAGACGGCGGAUGUCAAAAUCCACAGCCGAUCAUGUCCUUCAAGUCGCACGUUGCUUUCUACCACAUCGUUUCAAACGAAGUUUUACCAUAACAUUCCUCUAAUUGAAAUUUCAAAGCGGUAUGGAAUUGAUUCAAUAUAAAAUCAUGAAUAGUCAUUGGUUCAACCGGUAUAUAAUAGUCCAUACUUUCUAUCUACGGUACGGAUAAAUAAGUAUUUAUCCGGAUAAGGGUCAGCAAGGAUCGAAUUUAUUUAAUUUAACCCCAUAUUCUAUCAUAUGAAUGAAAAUAUUUAUUUAUAUUUAUAAAUAAGACGAAUAAACGAGUUUGCUUAAGACUUAUUAUUUACAUCUUCAACAGAUUGUUCGAGACGAUCAAUCAUGAAGGAUCCAGUUUUCUCGAACAAAUAAACUAUAAACCUCCAAAAGAGGUUUCUAUAGUAGAAUACUAAUGAUUUCCAAUCCCGAAAUCAAAUCAAUUAGUAACCAAAAAAGCUAUUCCAAUGACCCGAAAAAGUCGAAAUUUUGAUAAUAUAGAUUUCUCAUACUUCUUCCAGUACCAAUUCCGGUACCAAUCAAAAAAAAAUGAAGUAAAAAAGAAAAACGAUCUCGUGUAAGGUAAAAUUGGGUUCCUUACAUUAUUGUUAUUCUUUCUUUCAUCUGAAAGAGAAAAUCUGAAUCAAGAAUCAGAGAAGUAUGAUCUUUUCGGAUCCAUCAUAUACAACUAAGAGUUCUUACCUUAGCCGGGGUAAUUCUAAUUAUAGAUAUUUUAAAAAUCACAGAUCCUUUUCACUUAACCGAAAAGCCCUUGUUACUGAAAUACAACAAUACAAUAAAAAUACAUAAUAUAUAUCAUAUAGGCAUAGGCCUUGUUUUUUAUACAGAUUUUGUUUUACUUCUUCAAGAAUUUUUCGAUCAAUUCUAAAGUCAAGUAGAUGGAAUAUACGAAUUUCUCCCCAAUCACUACAUUACAUUGAUUUACAAUGGUUCAUUUGAACCAGCUAAUAUCUAAGAUACAAAAAAAUAAGGUCCAGAUCAAUCCGUUUUUCCUAUUUUUUUUUCCGCGCAAACCCAACUUUAAUUAGAAGUUUUAAGACCUGUGAUGAAAUUCAAAACUCCCCACUCUUUAAUCUCUACAUUCUAUGUGGAAUUGGGCGGGAUACCAUUUAUUUUCUUUUUAUUGACUAUAGAGAGGUCUUUCUCUCACAUUGUGAUUCAGAAUGCAUCAUGUGAUAAUUCCCAUUUCAUAGGUAUUAGAUAUGGGACAUAAAGUUUCUCUAAGGAACUAACUUCAAAAUGAAUAUGAAAUGAAUAUGAGUAGUACGAGCAUAUCCUGAAUGUUUAUGAUAUAAUAGACCAAAAAUCUCUUUUUUGAAUGAAAAUAAAGAUAUUGAAUUUUACCCACAUUUGACACUUGAUUCCGUUUGUGAGAAACCAAACGAAUUCUCAGAUAUGAUUCUUAGAACCAUUCUGAAAAUUAAUAAGAAAAGAUUUUUCCCUUUAACAAAUUCUUGUUUCAUGUGGAAUGCAGUGUGAUCCCAUCUUUCGUUUCAUGAAGGACGAUCUGGGACGGAAGGAUUCGAACCUCCGAAUAACGGGACCAAAACCCGCUGCCUUACCGCUUGGCCACGCCCCAUUUUGAUUUCUAUUCGAUACUAAUCAACACUAAUAUUGGUAUUGGUUAUUCGUCAAUCUCAACCCAAAUACAUAAAAACAUAUGGGAUAUUUUGUUGCUAGGAUUCAAGACAUGUAGAUAUAGAAUCAAAAAAAUUCAUUGAUCAUUACAUAGAAUUCAAUUAAGAUAUUGUAUGAAAGUUGAAUUCCUUAUAUUAUCAUUUUAGAAUGAUAAUGGGGGGAGGGAUUUUUUAUUUGGGAGAGUCCGAACCGAAGAAAAAGGAGGAUUUCUUGAUCUGCCUUUUUCAUUUUUCCCUUAUAAAAAUAACUCAAAAUUAUCUAAUCCACAAGAACGAAAUGCUUGUUAUGCUUAAUAUCUUUAGUUUAAUCGGUAUCUGUCUUAAUUCUGUCCUUUAUUCGAGUAGUUUUUUCUUCGCCAAAUUGCCCGAAGCUUAUGCCAUUUUCAAUCCAAUCGUAGAUGUUAUGCCUGUCAUACCUGUACUCUUUUUUCUCUUAGCCUUUGUUUGGCAAGCCGCUGUAAGUUUUCGAUGAAAUCUUUAAUACUCUGCUAAAUUGAUGAUGUAUUCGAUAAAAAAAUUCUAAAAAUUGAUAAGAUCAGAUAAGUCUUACAUUACGAACCCUCGAUUCAAAAAUCUAAAUUCUUGUAUAUUGAAUGAAUAACCGCAGCGAUGAAUUUGGAUCAGCCUUUUCCCCGUUCUGACCUUCCAGUGAGUAUGGACUAUUAGGUACUCCACAAUACCUAAUUAUUGAUAUGACAAGAAAUUUCGGUUAACGAAUGAAUAAAAAUCUUAUUACAAAUAAAUUCGUUAAAAUAAAAUGACUUUUCAAGAAAAGACUUCAUUUUAUUUUUCAUUUUUCGGGGUGUCAAAACAAAUAAAAUAAAAUGGUAUAUGUGGUAAAAAAUAGGUAAUCUAUUCCCCUUUUUCAAAAAAAAAAAAUGAUCUUGGAGAUUGUGUAAUGCUUACUCUCAAACUCUUUGUUUACACAGUAGUGAUAUUCUUUGUUUCCCUUUUUAUCUUUGGAUUCUUAUCUAAUGAUCCAGGACGCAAUCCUGGACGUGAGGAAUAAAAAAUUUCUAGUUUUUUUGCUUUUUUCUAAAUUAAUUCUUAAUAAUCUUAUUUGUUUCAUACAUUUAACUAUGAUAAAAUCAAGUUAUGAGAAUCUUUUCAAAUUCGAAAAUCCCAAGUGAUCAGAGAAAGCGGAAAGAGAGGGAUUCGAACCCUCGGUACAAAUAAUUCGUACAACGGAUUAGCAAUCCGCCGCUUUAGUCCACUCAGCCAUCUCUCCUAAUUCCAAAUUGAAAAUUUGUUAUGUGAUGUAACACGUGAAAUAAAGAUUGAGAAAAAUCCACCUUCUUUUCUUUAUUUUAUUUUUUCAUUUUAUUUAUUUAUUUUUAUUUAAUCUUAUUUAACUUUAAUAUUAUUAUUUAAUUAUUAUUAUUUAUUUUAUUACAUUAUUCUAUUUUAAUAAUAGAAUUUAUUAUUAUAUUAUUAAUAUAGAAAUUGGAAAUAUUCUAAAAUAUUCUAAUAAAUAAUAGAAAUUAUUUAAAUAGUUAUUUAAAUUUAAACUUAAACAAAGUAUUUAAUAUUUAAAUAAAAUAAAAAGGAAGGUAUAUAUUUAUACUAAAUAAAAAUAUAUAUAUAUAUAUAAAUAUAUUAUAGUAUAAAUUGUAUAAGAAAAUAUGUAUAAGAAAAUAAAUAUAAGAAAAAUAAGAAAAAGAUAGAAAAAAGCAAUUGAUCAGGAAUUUAAUAUAGAUAAUGACUCAAAAUGGAUCUCCUCAAUAGAAAGAAUAUCUUAGUUCUUUGAUUUUAUACGAAAGGUUUAUUCUCCCGGCCUGAUCCGCUUAAGUACUGGCCGGGACAUUUAUUCUUUUAUUCCAAUGAAUCCUUCAUAGAUCAAACGAUUAAAUUUGGAAUUUAUAUCAAUCAAAAAUACUUGUUAUUGAAGCAACAACAACAAGAGAAAUUUCCAUUAUCAUUCCUAUGAUCGAAGUCCCAUUUAUUAUUAUUUAAUUUAAUAUUUCUUUUUUAUUCUUCUUUUUUUUUAUUGAAGAUUCUUUUUUUCUUUUUCUCAGUUUAUUACUUAAUUUCUUACUGUUGUCAAGUAAGGAAUAAAAAAACACAUAUGAUAACAUAUCAUAUAUAUAUACAUUAAACAAUAUUAAAUUACAUUUAACAAUUUUAAAUAUUUAAAAUAUUUCUAUUCUAACAUAUUUCUAUUCUAAUAGAAUAGAACUCAAUAUAACUCAUUUACUUCUUCAAGAGACAAAAUUGGAACAGUUGAGAUUCAAUUGACCCGAAUUCAUAAGAUCUGGCACUGGCAGUUGAAAAGAAGGUGAAAAAAGGGGGGUCCAUGUAUACAGAAUUUCGAAUUUUUAUAGUCUAGCUUCAAUCACCCCUUCAGGCGGGAACCAUUAGUUUAGUAAUGACUUCCCAGCAAACGAAAAGCUUACCUUUUUAUGUUAUGCUAUUUAAAUUUAAUUAUGUUAUUUAAAUAAGCUUUCCGCUCUUCGCUUAGCUUCUUUUUAUUUUUAUUUUAUUUAAGUCCCCGGCGAGACAAAAUACGUGUCAACGCUAGAAUUUUCACGAUUCUGAUGCUAUCUUGAUUUUGUCUCACCCCUUUUUUUGUUCGACAAAUGAUCCAUUCGUAUACAAUAAUGAAUAUGUAGCGGGUAUAGUUUAGUGGUAAAAGUGUGAUUCGUUCUAUUAACAACUUAAAUAGUUAAGGGGUCCAUCGGUUUUUUUUUUCAAACUCCGAUCAAAAACUUUAUUUCUUAAAAAGGUUUAAUCCUUUUCCUCUCAAUAGCAUAUUUGAGGAAAAAUAUACGUUCUCACGAUUUGUAUCCAAAGGCCAAUUAGGAAUUGCAUCAAAAAAUUGGAUUAUGGAUAUGGAUUCGCGAAGCAUAAUUUUUUGAAUUGGAUUAACUAUUCCAAUUGAAUAAGUAUAGGUAAAGGGUCUAUGGAUGAAGAUACAAAAGUUUAUUUCCAAUCGUAACUAGAUCUUCCAUUUUUGUGUUGUAAAAGGAAAUUGAAGCCAAAUAGCUAAAAAACGAUAGUUUUGGUUUACUAGAACCAUCAGCAUAUUGUUUCAGCUCGGUAGAAACCAAAUUCUUUUCCUGAGGAUCCUGGGAGUGAAAAUAGGGAACGAAGUAACUAGACUAGAUAGAUUUGGUAUAAUCUCUCUCCUCUAGAGGGAUCAUCUAGAAAGCGAGUAGCUUUAGAUGCAUUCAUACAGAAAAGCUGACAUAGAUGUUAUGGAUCUAAUUUUUUCUCUGGAAAUAUAUGGACCUUCCAUAAAGGAGCCGAAUGAAACCAAAAUUUCAUGUUCGGUUUUGAAUUAGAGACGUUAAAAAUGAUCAACCAACGUCGACUAUAACCCCUAGCCUUCCAAGCUAACGAUGCGGGUUCGAUUCCCGCUACCCGCUCCAUAUUCAUUAUUGUAUAUGCGUCAUCAAUUUGGAUAUGCAUCCUUUUUUCCCGAAAAGAUAUAUUUUCCAUAUAAUCGUUUUUUAUUUGAACAAGAGUAAAGUAAGAAUACGAAAGAAGAAAAUAGAAAUGAAAAGCGUCCAUUGUCUAAUGGAUAGGACAGAGGUCUUCUAAACCUUUGGUAUAGGUUCAAAUCCUAUUGGACGCAAUUUUUUUUCCAUCUAUUUUCUUAAAUGUCUAUACUAAGAAACCCUUUUUGAAUGAUUCAAAUCAGAAAUUUUUCUCAAUGAUUACUCUCAUGCUAAGAAUAAGUAUGAUAAAUUUAUGGUUGUUCCUGAAGUAGAAAUAGUUCGAUCUGUUCCUGAAUAGCUUCCUUCAAAACGGCUUCUGCUUGCUCGGUGAAUGUCUUGGUAGAAGAUAGAAUUUCUUGGAAUUGAGGUUUAUUCUUUUUUAAGUAAGUACGUAACUGAACAAGAAAUUUCUUUACCUGUCCAAUUUCUAACGGAUCAAGAUAUCCAUUCGCUCCGGUAUAAAUNUGUAGCAUUUAGACAUUUAUUAUGCUCUGAUACUCCUAGAUGUCUUUUAUUAUUGCUUUUAUCAUUGUUGUUUUUAGACGCCUUAUGCGUUUUAGACGUAUGGCGGGUCUGGGCAUGUGCCGUGCGGGCUUCCGCUGGGUCCCGGGGCGUGACAGUCUAUAUGACCCAUCCCCUCUCUCUUCUUCUCAUUUCCCUCCUCACACUCUCCCUACACCUUCUAGAGAGAAGAAGAAGAAGGAGAAGAAGGGGAAGGAGAAGAAGAAGAGAAGGAUCUAGCUUGGGCUUGGAGCAUCCCUUUGCCUUCCUUCCUCCUCCGAUCUUGUUGGUGCUUGAAGGCUUGGACUUGGAGCUUGCAAAGGAGAAGAUCUUCACCCUUUGAGCUUGGAUUGGAGCUUCUUAGAGGUUGGUAGCCCUUUCUCUCCCUCUAGACCUUGAUUUGGUAGGUUUUACCAUUUGGAACCCUAGAAUGAGGUUUUAGGGCUUAUUUUGGGACUUUUUGAUCUAGGGCUUUUGAGGUUAGAUUAAUUGGUUUAGAACCUUCCUUGGGCUUAGAUUGGAAGGGUUCUAGCUCUCUUUUGGAGCUUUGGAAGAGAUUUCUUUUCUUGAGGUGAGUUUUGGCCCUUUUUGCUUCUAGGUUAAUAUUUGAUCUUAUGGUUGGUCGUAAUGCCCUCGUAUCUUUUCGCUGAUCACUUUUAGGGUACUUUGAGACUCGUGGACAACUCCGUUCGGCGAAUCGAAGGAGCACGCGACGGUUCGGUGGGUUUGACCUAGCCUACAUAUGAGAAAUUCUCAUACAUGGUUUUAUAUGUUCCGUAAAUUGAAAAAGCAUGCAUGUUCAUACUAAAUGCAUUUAUUAUGAUUUUUAGAAUGCUUAAAAUGCAUAUAUUAUAUAUAGUGAAAUUUUGGACCUCUAUGUAGUAGAGAGUCGCUUGGGAGAUCUUUUGUUGCAUUUGGCAUUCUUCAUGAGAUUUGGUUUCAUGCUUCUAUAGUAUAAAUGAGUUCGGAUUCAUGUAUUUAAACUUGAGUUUACUUGUGACAUGAAAGAUGACAAGAUUGCUAUUUAGAAGGGACGUGAACUAGAGAGCUAAUGUCAUCAAGCGGCAUUGAGCUCGGGACAUGUAAGAACCUAGCAGAUAGGGCCAUUGAGGGAUUUGGAAUACAUGCUAAACAUCAAAUUGCCUGAGAGUCAUCAAGGAGCACUAGGCGUAACAAAUAUUGAAACUUCACAUUGUGACUUAAACUAGAUCUUUGGGAUGCUAAUGACCAUACCAUGUUAGAGACAUGAGGAUUGGAUACUUGAGACUUGGACUAUGCUUGCUUGCCAUUUGUGCUCAUUCGCAUAUGCUUGUGAGGGUCGCUCCCUACAAGCCGGCACUCCGGAGUUAGCCUACGCGACUUUUGUUCGCUCGUGCGUUAUUGAGAAGCCUACGGGGUCGAGUGGGACAGACACAUCCCAAGAGUAGGGAUGUUGGGCUACCACAGGCACUUAGGCGGCACAAGCUGGACUACCUUUGGUAGGUCCUUGAUUGGAAAUAGAGAUCGAUAUGGUAUUGAGAAUGAAUAAUCGCUACUAGAUAGGCUUAGUAGUUGGAUUAGGUGACAUGCUCAUGACGUAGCAAUGGGGUAUAUAGUACACUUGCUGGUUUCAUGCAUUGCAUCAUAGUUUACUGGGUUAUCUUGAUAGAGCGUACUCUAUAUAUUUUGGGAUAUAGUACUGUGAGGUUUACUUGUUCAUUAUGUUGAGGCAUAUUAGUAUGCAUUGGAUAUAUUACCUUAUGAUAGCGUAGAUGUACAUCACCAUGACAUCAUGCUUAUUGGAGACAUAGUAGUAUAGCAUUUUAUUCAUGCUUUCUUUCAGCAGUUUUCGUGAUUGCUAUUUAUUGCAUAUUACUAUAUGUCGUUACUUACCCUUUUCUUUUGGGGCUUAGUGGUGCAUAGAGCUGAGGUCAGUAAUUGCCCACUGGGAACUAUAAUUUAUAGUUCUCACGCCCUUUUUUUCUCGAUGUUUUCAGAGCCUUCCACGCAGGGUGAGGCCAGGGGAUCGCGGGAAGGGAGUUGCUUCGAGCUAGCUUCCUUCGAGGACGAGUUGCUAGGUGGUCUACCUCUCGAUUUAUAUUUCUUUUUGUGAGAGGUUGAGAGUUGUACCCGUAUAUGUAUAGAGACCACCAUUUUUGUACUAGAGACAGAUAUUGUACUACUUAUGACUCCUUUUAUUGUCUAGCUUUACUUCCUUUCUUUGGUGUAGAUGUUAGAACUAUACUCACUCUGAUAUCAUUAGUUGCUUGUUAUUUCACUUCUUUUAUUUGUUCCAUCUCUUGCUUUUACUUCCACUUUUAUUGUAGACGCCUUAUAUGUGUAGACAUAUGGCGGGUCUGGGCACGCUACCGGGAGGGCCUCCGCCAGUUCCGGGGCGUGACAGUGAGUGUUGGAACAUUACCUUGAGACAUUGAACUAGAUCUUUGAGAUGCUAGUGACUUUUACCAUGUUAGAGACAUGAUGAUUGCACUUUUGAGACGUUGACUACGCUUUCUUGCCAUUUGUGCUCAUUCGCACAUGCUUAUGAGUGUCGCUCCCUACAAGCCGGCACUCCGGAGUUGGCCUACGCGACUUAUGCUCGCUCGUGUGGUAUCGAGAAACCUACGGGGUCGGGAGGGAUAGACUCAUUCCUAGAGUGGGAAUGCUGGAGCUACCACCGACACUUAGGUGGCACAAGCUGGACUACAUUUAUGUAGGUCCUAGAAUAUGAUUAAACAAUGACAUUGAACCGAAAAAUGACAAUCACUACUAGAUAGGAUUAGUAGUUGGAUUACUUUGACAUGCUUAUAGCAUAGUGUUGAGACAUGUAGUAUACUUGAUAAUUUACCUAUUGCAUCAUAGUAUAUUUGGUUGCCUUGAUAGAGCAUAAUCAUCAUAUAUUGAUAGAAUGGAUCAUGUUAUCUACUUGCUUGCCACAUUGGGACAUAGUAGUCAUGCAUUGGAUAUACUACAACUUGAUAAAAUACGUGCACAAUACAUUGACAUCUUAUGAUUUAUGGCAUAGUAAAUUUAGCAAACAUUACUUGCUCUUACACUUACAGUUUAUUAUUAUUAUUAUCGUCGUUUCCGUACUUACCCUUUUCUUUUGGGGCCUAGUGGUGCAUUGAGCUGAGGUCAGUAAUUGCCCACUGGGAACUAUAAAUUAUAGUUCUCACGCCCUCUGUUUUAUAUCUUAUUUCAGAGCCUUCCACGCCGGGAGAGGCUAGGGACCGCGGAAAGGGUAUCGCCGCGAGCUAGCUUGCUAUCGAGGGACGCAUUGAUAGGUGGUCUACCUCUCAUUGUUUUCUUUUUGGAGAGGUUGAGAGUUGUAUCCAUGUAUAGAGACCACCUUUUUGUGUACCCCUUUUGGAGAUGGUUAUUGUAUAACUUUAUGAUUCACCUUUAUUGUUUAGUAUAUUCCUUCUACCUUGUUAUAGAUGAUAGAUUUACUUUUGCUCUGAUAUCUCUAGUUGUAGAUUAUCUUUGGCUUUAUUUUUCGCUGUUGUUGUAGACGCCGUAUAUGUGUUGACAUAUGGUGGGUCUGGGCGCGCUCCCGGGAGGGCCUCCGCCAGUUCCAGGGUGUGACAACAUGUAAUUAACCCUAACACGCAUGAAUGAUUCUAUAUACAAGUAUGCUCAAUAAAGAUGAAAAUAGACAUAAAGGGAAAUCCGAUGAUUCCGACGUGCACCCCUCACCUCGAGUGGUAGUAGAUGAAAAAUAUGACGACUCCCGAACUUUACGAACGCCGAAUCCGCGUCUUAUAACCAAAAUAGUGCCAAAUUAGGCCCUAUAUACACAAGUUAUAUUUAGACAUUUUCGUAACGUUAAACGGAGUUAUCCCACGCGUCGGGAAUACCCCCAAUUAGAUUUCCAAGAGGUCAAUUUGUCUCGAAAAAAUUCUAGGGCAAAAGCCCCAAUUUUGAGCCCUAACAAUGUCAUCUUCGAAUUUCUCCUAGAUUGAUCUCAACUCUAAGCAAAUACUAGUUUAGAAUUACCUAAAAAGCUCUCUAAUAUCAUUCCCAAGCUAUUGGAACCAUCCCUAGGGCAUCUAUUGUGAACCCUAAUAAUCCACCAUGGGAGCAUCUCAAGGAAACCAUGGUUUUUUUUUUUUUCAUGGUGUUCUUGGCCGAACAAAGCUUCUAAACAUAAAAGAAGCUCAAAAUCUUGGAUUCCAUGGUGAAAACCCAAACCCUAGGGCUCUACUUGCAAGAGAGCUCACCUUUGCCCAAGCUACACCAAGCUCCUUCUUGUUGGAGAGCUUCUAGCACCUUCAACUCCACGAAGGUCACCUUCUCCUUGCUUCUCCUUCCUCUUCUCCUUCUCCUUCUCCUUCUCCUUCUCCUUCUCCUUCUAGAGAAAGAGAGAGAUAUGACAGGGUGAGAGAGGGAGAGAAUGAGAGAAAGAGAGAGAGGAAGCCUCUCUUAACCCCUCUAUUGUAACAAUAUACCAAUAAGCCCCUCACCUUUGUAUUCUCUCGAACAGUCCUUACUGGGCAUUUUUCGUGCAGAGGGACCGGUCUCCCCGAUGAGGGACAGGUCCCCAAGAGCCCAGCUCUCAGGACUUAGCCGAUUUUCCCACUUCUGGGGUUUUCCGCGUACGGGAACCGGUCUCCCUACUAGGGACCGGUCUCCGGGGGACCGGUCUCUCGACCAGGGACCGGUUGCAUCAAGGGAAUUUCCAACCUUGGCUGGCUACGCAUACGGGGACCGGUCUCUCCCCACAGGGACCAGUCCCCGAGAGCUCAAAAACUGCAGUUUGUAGAUUUUUGAUUCAUAAGCUCCCGAAGAUCCGCUACAAUGCACUUUUGGUCAUUUUGACUAAAGUUGGGUGUUCGCUUACCGAGGUUUCGGUAUGUUACAGUCAGCCCAAGGCUCAAUCACGGGAUCAUGUACAAGAAUUCGUCCAGGAACAAUUCAAUACAUACAUGAUCCAUACAAUAACAAUAGAAGCACCACAAGUGCAUAACAACAAGAGCAAGUAACACAAGUAUACAGACAAGUGCAAAAAGAGAGAAUUCUAUCUAUUACAUCACAUUCAUCCACAGUUUAUAUUUUGUUUCAUCCAAAACAUAGGUACAAGUUCAUUCACGUCUCUCCAAAAUGCCUCUCACAACCUAUACAUCAUCUACUCUCAUAUUUUUUAUUCUAUUCCACCUCUUAUAGAGAAAAGAACUUAAAGCAAAAUACUUAAUAACACGGCGAUACAUUUAUACAAAACUUCUACCCCGAGAACACGCAAUGGAGCCGUAGACAGUCAAGUGAAAUCCAAUCCACGAAAUAAUUUGAUCUAUAGACGGCAUCAUUGUGGUAAAGGUCAUAAUGCCAGAGGAAUCAUUACCGCAAGGCAUAGAGGGGGAGGUCAUAAGCGUCUAUACCGUAAAAUAGAUUUUCGACGGAUGUGGGGCUAAUAGUUUUCAUUUCCCAUCUCAUGGAAAACCCUUUUCGCUCCACUUAGCCCUAUUGUAAGGGGAGUGAAUUCUCGAAAUCCGGGGAUUUAACUUCGUUGGGAAUCGACUAAUUGUCGAGUGUGUAAGCAUCGGAAAGUCCGAAGAUGGUCAUAAUGCAUAAAGUGCAUUGAGGUAAUGUCCGCGAGAGCACCAGUGCAAAAGCUACACUGGAGUAGAAAUGCUCUCGGCGACCGGUCCCUGGCAGGGAAGGACCGGUCCUAUUGGGCUGGGCUGCGGGGGUCUCUGAUAAGACCGGUCCCUGGCAGGCAGGGACCGGUUCCUGAACGUUAGCCCAGCGAGAUUGGCCAAAAUUUGGCUAAGUCCCGAGAACCCAGCUCUCGGGAACCAGUCUCUCGGACAAGGACCGGUCUUCCGGGGACCGGUCUCUCAGGCAGGGACCGGUUCCCGAACGCGAAAUCCUUUCUGCCUGAUUGUGCAGCUCUCGAGGACCGGUCUCCCCGACCUGGGACCGAUCCCUCACUGCGAAAGUGGCCCAGGGAGGGCUGUUUCAGGAAAUGAAAGGUUGAGGGGGUUAUCUGCAAAAUGGCCUAUAUGAGGGCUUGGGUACCCCUCUCUCUCUCUAAGUUGCUCUCUUUCCCUUUCACACUCUUUCCCUCUCUCUCUCUAAGAAAGAAAGAAAAAAAGGAGAAGAAGAAGGAGUGGAAGAAGAAGAAGGAAAAGAAGAGAAAGAAGAAGGAGAAGACUAAGAAUAAGAAGAGGGUUGUCUUCUUCUCUCUCCCUCAAGCUUGGAGUCUUGAAGAGAGGUAGGCUUUAAACCCCUUUAGUGGUGUUUCUAGGGUUUGUGGGUUUUAUGGUUUAGAAAUGGUUCGAAUGGAACCUAUUGAGGCUAGGGAGAAGGUUCGGGCUCGAAAUCGAAGCUUGCACCAUAGAUUUCUCGAUUGUUGGAACAUAGGGCUCCGAUUUGGGAUUUUGGCAGAUCUGGGGUUUUGAUCUAAUUUGAUGGGUCGUAAACCUAAUUGCUAGGUCUCUGAAUGCGUCGGCGAAGACGGUUCGUUGAUCCGUCGAGUGGUGCGAAGUUAUCGCCUAAGGAGACCCUCGGAGCUUCGUUCUCGCCUGGAAGGUCAACGAGGCGUCGAAACGUCGGCGAAUUGCAUUCGAAGAGUCGCGACAUCACGACGAGGUGGGGGAGUGCCAUUCCGAAGCAGUCAGGCUGCUCUUUAUGUCUGAGUAUCAUUAUCGAUCAUUUACAUAUUGCAAUAUAGUAUUAUAGGGUGUUAAAUGUGAUUGUACAUAUCCUUGCAUGCUAGUGAUGAUUUAGGUUGUGGAUAUAAUGAAUGAAAACCUAGUAUGCAUGUGUGGAAUACUAUGAGAUAGUUCGCCCUGUAUGUGAUGAAUAUGUCUAUGUGAAUAAGAACCUAGUAUAUUGGAAACUAGUGUAUCAAGAACUUGUCAAGAGAACGAGUGGCAUCUAGUUAACAGUGAACCCAGAACGAGUGGCACCUAGUUGAUAUUGAACUUGAGAACUUUAGUGUGGUUAAGAGACUAUGAGAUUGAGCAGAAGAACACCUGAUGUUAUAGCGACACCAAUUCUAGUUGGUUAGGGUGUUCCCAGUUCAUGAGAUUGGAUCGAGCUCACUUAGCCUGUUUGCACCUGUGGAGGUAGCUCCUCACAGGUAGUGCACUCCGGAGUUUGGCACGCGAGGGGGCCAGUGUAGUGCCCUUGGACCAGUGUAGUGUCCGCAGGCAGUCUCAGGGUAGGUGAAUAGCUAGCCACCUCCCCUAUGAGACUUAGAGACGUGAGACUGUGAGCGAACCUUGCGUUCGCCGAGAGAUUGGGUAAUCGGAUGAAUGAUUUCGUUGUUGAGCAUGGUAGUAUGAUAGCCAGCCUUCUUACUAUGACUUCCAUGCAUGCAUCAUACUGGAUUGAGGCAUUGAUAGAUCAUAGUUCAUAGUUGCUCAUUACUGUUAAUGCUUUCAGUUUUAUAUACCUAUCAUCUGCAUAUCUAUCUGUGCCUGCUUAGACCUAGUGGGGAGAUCGACGGAGUCGGCGGCCGAACCCACUGGGAACUAUUCGUAGUUCUCACUCCACCAUGUUGCAGGUCCGAGUUCGAGCGCCCCUGGUGAGGAUCGCGGCAGGGGCAUAGCGCCCUAGUGAUUUAGCAGAGGUUACUUCCUUAUGCAUUAGUUACACCCUGUACCUAUUUUGAGAGUAGAUGAUGUGUAGGGUGAGGAUUUUAGAGUGAUUGUAUAUAUACUCUGGAAGAAUGUAAAAGAUGAAAUAAUUGUAUAAGGUUUAAUGAAUUAAUAGUUAAGUACAUCUCUCUUUUGUUCACUUGUAUGGUUUUAUUACUUGUGAUGCUUGCUCUUGUAUAAUAUAGCACUGACUGUGCUUUCGUUGUCGUUACAUGAUUUGUGUAUGUAUUCAAGUUGUUUUCCUGGGAACUUGUUGUACACAAUCUAGUCGUUGGGGCCUUGGGCGGGCAGGGGAGUUGCUGUCCAUCCGACGGUCCGUCCGCCGCGCCCGAACUGUGCCAAAUUGGUAGCGGUCUCGGGGCGGGGGGGUGACACCUAUCCCUUUCUAGGGGUAUUUUAGUGAUAGGUUCUAUAGGAACUGGACGAUCCUAUUUGGUCAAAUACCUAGCGACAAACUCCUAUGUUCCUUUCAUUAUAGUAUUUCCGAACAAGUUCUUGGAUGACAAGCCUAAAGGUUAUUUUUAUUAAUUUUUUUAAUUUUUUUAUAAUUCUAAAUUUUAGAGAAAAGAAAAGUAAGAAAAGGUUUUUCAAACCAUAAAAAAGUCUUUUCAUUUUUCUCUUCUUUAAGUCUUCCCAAUUCCCAAUUACCUUGAUAGGUAUCAAGAUAAGAAUCUUCGUGAACUGGGCUAUCUUUAUAGCAUGUCUCUUUAAAAAAAGGGGGUUUGAAUGUGGGUGUUGUUCUUAUUUUACUCGAGGAAUUCGAAUUAGCCCCCCUCCCCCCCCCGGAUCGUAUUUCUCCUGAGUUGAAAGAAAAGAUAGGAAAUCUGUCUUUUCAGAGUUAUCAUCCCAAUAAAAAAAAUAUUCUUGUGAUAGGUCCUGUUCCGGGUCAAAAAUAUAGUGAAAUCGUCUUUCCCAUUCUUUCCCCCGACCCUGCUACGAAGAAAGACGUUCACUUCUUAAAAUAUCCCAUAUAUGUAGGUGGGAACAGAGGAAGGGGUCAGAUUUAUCCUGAUGGCAGCAAGAGUAACAAUACAGUCUAUAAUGCUACAUCAGCAGGUAUAGUAAGCAAAAUAGUACGAAAAGAAAAGGGAGGAUAUGAAAUAACCAUAGUUGAUGCAUCGGAUGACGUCAAGUGGUUGAUAUUAUACCUCCAGGGCCCAGAACUUCUUGUUUCAGAGGGUGAAUCCAUCAAGCUUGAUCAACCAUUAACAAGCAAUCCCAAUGUAGGAGGGUUUGGUCAGGGAGAUGCAGAAAUAGUGCUUCAAGAUCCAUUACGCGUCCAAGGCCUUUUGUUCUUCUUAGCAUCUGUUAUUUUGGCCCAAGUUUUUUUGGUUCUUAAAAAGAAACAGUUUGAAAAAGUUCAAUUGUACGAAAUCAAUUUUUAGGUCCAGAGAUUCCUUAACAUUUGGUAAAAAGUGCCGGUUUUUGUCCAUCGAAACAAUUAUGUAUGAUCAAAAAAUUCUGUAAACCCUUUAUUUGUUAUUUGAUUUAUUGUUUUUUUUUUGUGUGUACUGCGGAUUUACUCUUGUUUUACUAUUGAUAGGAAUUCUCUUGUUAAGACUCUAUGAAUCAAUUGAAACCUCAGAUUCAUACUAGAACCACGAUGAUUUAGCCUCAAGCUAAACUCAAAGGUUCUCUGAGUAAGAACCGUUUGAUGAUCACUUAUUGAAUGAAUGGAUGUAAUGACUCAACAAAAUCUAGAGAAAGAGUUAUCCUUCGGUCAAAAUAAAUCUGAAGGAAUAAAAUUCGUUUGAUUUAGGAAAUACCUAUUUGAAUUUUUUUUAAGUCCGGUUGCGAGGUCUGAAUAAAUAGUAGGUAUGAAUCAUAUUUCAAAUCAUUUCUGCAUUGGCAGAAAUUAGCCCACGGUAAACGCUGGGUAGCCAAGUGCGGAGCGGAUAACUGCUGAAAGAAUCCAAGUAGUAAGCCCACCCAACUCUCCUUUCGAGGUUCAUCGAUAGUGAAUCAAUCGAACGCACUUCUAAGAUUUGUUCUACUUUUGGAAGACCUUGCGUUAUGUCACCAGAUCUCGAUUUUUCAUAUAUAAAUGUAACUAAUGUAUCUCCUUCGUAAAGGAUUUUCCCAUAAUGACCAUGAACAGUUGCUCCAGGAGUAGCCAAAUAAGGCUUAGCUGAUCUUAUAACUAAAGAGUCGACAUUAACAAUUAAAAUUUGACCAGAUUUUUUUACGUGUGGUUCGUAUUUAAAUAGACAUACAUUUUCACAAAUAAAUUGUCCAAGGCUAAUUUUGGUCGAUGUCUCUUCACAAUAAUCAUGAUGGAAAAAGCACCAAUUCAAAUGGAAUGGGUUCAAAAUGAUGUUACUGCAUGGAUCGGGAUUAUAAAUCCUCCUAUUUUCAUCUAUUAAACAGUAUUUAAGUACUUGAAGUACUUGGAAAAUCUGUUUCAAAUUGUCAAGUAGCAAAUAUUUCUUUAACACGAUCUGAUUAUGAGUUAUUAAAUGGUAAGAUGAAUAAAAAUUCGCUNCGACCUCCUAAAAAAAGACGUGUGUAGGAAUAAGAAUUAAAUCGAUUUCAAGAGAAAUAAAUGAUUCAAUGAUCAAAUAAUAAUACUAGUAUAGUAUGGUUCGAGAGGAAGUAGCGGGAUACACUCGGACACUAUAGUGGAAGUGUGUUGAAUCAAGAGUAGACAGUAAGCGUCUUUAUUAUGGUCGUUUCAUUCUAUCACCGCUUAUGAAAGGUCAAGUUGAUAGCAUCAGUAUUGCCAUGCGAAGGGCUUUACUUGGAGAAAUAGAAGGAACAUGUAUCACACGUGCAAAAUCUGAGAAGGUGCCACAUGAAUAUUCUACGAUAGUAGGUAUUGAGGAAUUAGUACAUGAAAUCUUACUAAAUUUGAAAGAAAUUGUAUUGAGAAGUAAUCUCUAUGGAGUUAGAGACGCGUUGAUUUGAGUUAGAGACGCGUUGAUUUGCAUAAGGGGUCCUAGAUACAUAACCGCUCACGAUAUCACCUCACCACCUUCCGUAUAAAUAGUUGACACGACACAACAUAUAGCUAACCUGACGGAACCAAUUGAUUUGUGUAUUGGAUUACAAAUCAAGAGAGAUCGCGGAUAUCGUAUGGAACCCAUAAAUGACUCUCAAGAUGUAAGUUAUCCUAUAGAUGCUGUAUCCAUGCCUGUUCGAAAUGCGAAUCAUAGUAUUCAUUCUUAUGGGAAUGGGAAUGAAAAACAAGAGAUACUUUUUCUAGAAAUAUGGACAAAUGGAAGUUUAACUCCUAAGGAAGCACUUUAUGAGGCUUCUCGUAAUUUGAUUGAUUUAUUUAUUCCUUUUCUACAUGCGGAGGAAGAGGACAUUAAUUUCGAAGAAAGUAUAAACAGGUUUACUCUACCCUUUUUUACCUUUCAAGAUAGAUUAACUAAUCAAAAGAAAAACAAAAAAGGAAUUCCAUUGAAUUGUUUUUUUAUUGACCAAUUAGAAUUGCCUUCCAGGACCUAUAAUUGUCUCAAAAGGUCCAAUAUACGUACAUUAUUGGACCUUUUGAGUAAUAGUCAAGAUCUUAUGAGAAUUGAAUAUUUUCGCAUGGAAGAUGUAAAAUAAAUGUUGGACACUCUACAGAAGCAUUUCACAAUUGAUUUACUUAAGAAUAAGUUCUCAUUUUAAAUCCAUUGUAAUUUUUUCAUCGUCUUUUUCUAAUUCUAAUAGAAAGAAAAUUCUAAAGAAAAAAAGAAAACAAUUUUGCAUCUUUGGCACAAUCUGUAUUUUCGUGGAAUAGAUCAUAAUCAAAUUAAUGUAUCUAGGGAAGAUUCACUUUGAAGUAACUAUUCCCUAGAUACCUACAUCAUGGUACUUCGCAGUUGAAUCAAUUUGAAAAAGACCUAAAGUUAGGGAUUUAUCAAUAGGUAAUGUUGCUUCAAUACCUAAUGAAAGAGCUAUAGCGGUACGGAUCAAAAAUAUUGUUGUAGCUACUUGUCAACGAAAUGGAUUUUGGAAUUUAUUGACAUUCUCCAAAAAGGGUACUGUGAAUAAUCCCAUUGGUAUUGAAACCAUUAAAAGAACGCCCAAUAACUUAUUGGGUACUGUGCGGAGUAUUUGAAAUACGGGAAAGAAGUACCAUUCGGGUAAUAUUUCCAAAGGAGUUGCAAAUGGAUCCGCCGGUUCACCAAUCAUUGACGGUUCUAGAACCGCUAAACCUACAUUACAUGCAAUAGUACCUAGAAUUACUACUGGAAAAAUAUAUAAAAGAUCAUUAGGCCACGCGGGUUCUCCAUAAUAAUUAUGUCCCAUCCCUUUAGCCAAUUUUGCUCUUAAUACAGGAUCAUUCAAGUCAGGUUUCUUUGUUAUUGGGAUAGGUGAAUUCUUAUGGAUCCAUCCUCCGAAGGAACCGGACAUGAUAAUUUUUCAUCAUCUGGCUCAAGCAAGAACCAAAGGAAUAACAGAAAUAAACCCAUAUAAAAUAUAAAAUCGUUAUUUUAUAAACAUAGUUAAUAACUCUUAUGUAAGUAAGAAAAGAUUUAUCACAUUCAAUUUUCCAAAAUUGCAACUACAACUAUUCAUUGCAAAGAAUUCUGUUCUUAUAGGUAAAUGCUCAAUAUCCAAGUAGGCUUACAAAUUUGAUCAUGAUCAAGUGCUUUUUGGAUUGUCUCAUGUCUUUUGAUUGGUGUUUAUCCCCACCAUAUCUCGAUUUUCUUACGUAAAAAGUAUUUACUUGUUACUAAUAAAGUCUAGNGUCUCCCCCUCAAGAUAACCCAAUGGAUAGAGUUAUUUCAUAUACUAACCAAACUCCUUGCAGAACUCUAAGUCCGCUAACGUCUACUAUAUUGAUCAUUUAUACAAGGAGGAGUACAGUUGUAUAAAAUAACAAAUCCCCCCUAGUGUGAAUGAACAAAAGAUCAUGUUCAUCGAUGCCCAAAACGAUACUGAAAAAUGAUAGCAGGUUGGCAAUGUCUCCGAAAAAUGAGACAAGUUAUGUAUUACUGACUCCGGUUGAAACCAACCAAUUAGGCUAGUCAAGUAGCCACCAGUCGUUCAUACUACCAAGAGUACUACUAGGACGUGCAUAAAGCACACAUAGAGUGUCCACCUAAAUUUUUUGGAGCGCUUAAUUGAACCCAAUGUCCACACCAAAACCGACAUAACUGACGUAGAAAACCACAUUGACCAAUAAGGAAUGGAGCCCUGGUUUAACCAAUAACCCGUCAUUUUUAGCACUGUCCGCAUGGGCUUCGAUAAGGACAUUAUCCUAGCGGAAAUCAUCUCAAUAAUGCACCUUCACGAUCACACCCGGUUAGGUGAAACUGAGCAAAAAUAUCGAAUGUGUGAAAACAUAACGGAGAGGAAUGACGGCAUAAAUACAAUUACGUGAAAGGUUACUAUGCAUUCGUUCCAUAAAGGCCAGGAAAUAUCUCUUCUGUAUAGUAUCUAUAAACAUUAACUAGUAUAUAGCCCUUCCUGUUAUCAUAAAGUAACGAUGUUUAUACCUUUCACCUAAAAGGCUUCUCUCCUACCUAAUACCCUCACACACUGAACUUGAUAACUAAACCGGUACGUCUAUAUACUAAAAUAGCGGUGCAACCUUAAGUGUUGGUUUACACAGAGGCGUAGGUUGGUUUUGCAUUCAGGGGAUGCAUCGUCUCCUAUCCGGCCAAGCGAACUCCUCUUAUAAAAGAUACUAGUAUGGGCUUAGUACAGUAGGUGCUUGUCCGAGGCAUUCUAGGCAUCUUAUCUUAUUCACUACACCGUACUAGGUUACAAGAUAGAUAAGGUGAAUUGAAUAAAUAAUAUCACACCUUUACGUAAGUAAAGGAAACGUAGCUAAGGUUAGAUACUAUGAUAGCCUCACUUUCUUCCCUAGAUUCCUUCUUGUCUCCGAUCUGAAAUAAUCAUUGUUCAUUUAUGAAAAAUGCAUUCUUUUAGCUCUAUACCACCCCUAUUUGUGGUUAGUUUUCUGUACUCUGUUAGGUUUUUCGUGAAAGAACCGUAUAUGAGAAUUUCAUCUCGUACGGCUCAAGCGGAAACACACAAAUACUGAUUUCAACGAAUAUAUAAUAGGAAGUUCAAAACUUCAUUAGCCGCUUGAUUCGAUUUGCCUCGAAGAUACGAAGUAACAAAAAUCCGGAAUCUCUUCUUUGUGAUGAUAAUGCCAAAAAAUAUCAAGUUGGCUCAUCUGUCUUUCUUUAUGUUGAUCGUUACAGGCCUCUUGAACCUUCUCUUCCCUAUUUUUUAUUUGUUAUUUGAUUUAUUGUUUUUUUUUUGUGCGUACUGCGGAUUUACUCUUGUUUUACUAUUGAUAGGAAUUCUCUUGUUGAGACCCUAUGAAUCAAUUGAAACCUCAGAUUCAUACUAGAACCACGAUGAUUUAGCCUCAAGCUACACUCAAAGGUUCUCUGAGUAAGAACCUUGAAUGACUUAUUGAAUGAAUGGAUGUAAUGACUCCACAACAUCUAGAGAAAGAGUUAUCCUUCGGUCAAAAUAAAUCUGAAGGAAUAAAAUUCGUUUGAUUUAGGAAAUACAUAUUUGAAUUUCUUUUGAGUUCAGUUGCGAGGUUUGAAUAAAUAGUAGGUAUGAAUCAUAGUUCAAAUAUUUCUUUUCUUGAUCUAUUCUAUAUAUUCCGUGCUCCAGAUACUAGAAUAAAUAUCCGACGAGGUAGAAUCAUCUUGAUAGAGAUAACAGGUCCAUUCUAUGUAUUAUCAAUAGGAUCAAUUAUAACAAGUCACACACUCAUAUUCCGCAAAUACCGAAACAAAUAAAUUCCACGGUCGAACUACCAGAAUAGAAUGGUCUAGAAAUCCAAGUCUAAAGUAAUUUUUUCUUUGAUUGAAAGACUAGGACUUCAUAGUUCUUAUAAACCUAACUCAUUGAAAUUCCAUCCAGUAAAACGGAAGAAUUAUAAAUUUCCAAAAUAAUAGAUAGGAAUAUCGCAAAUAGAGCCAUUGCGACCCCCAUAAGUGGUGUAGUCCCCCAUCCCGGAGCUACUUUACCAUAUUCCGAAUUCAAUGGUUUCAAUAAAUCCCCUACAGUAGUUCGUCUUGGCCCAGAUCUAGAACUAUCCUCAACGGUUUGUGUAGCCAUAAAUCCUAUUUAACGAUUGGUUGAGAUCUGUUGACUUUGUAUACUAUUCCGGUGUAGUUGUAAAUAAACGAUCUUAUCGUAGAUCCAUUGUGAUCUUGAAAUUAUCUAAAAAUGGAAACAGCAACCCUAGUCGCCAUCUCCAUAUCUGGUUUACUUGUAAGCUUUACUGGGUACGCCUUAUAUACCGCUUUUGGGCAACCCUCUCAACAACUAAGAGAUCCAUUCGAAGAACACGGGGACUAGUUGAAGUAAUGAGCCUCCCAUAUUGGGAGGCUCAUUACUUCAAUUAAAUUCUAAAGUUAUUUCAUUUUUUUAGUCGGAACCUUAGGCGGUUCUCGAAAAAAGAUAGCGAAAAAAAUUAUCCCUAAAGUCGAGACUAAAAGGAAUGUAUAAACCAAUGCUUCCAUGGAUUCGAUCGUGGUUUACAAUUAUAGCUUCCACACCUAUUCAUUUGGGAUCAUUUACCAUAUCAUAUAAAGAAAGAAAAAAAGUCAAAGAAAAGAUGGUGAUUCAAGUCAAGAUUUCUCUGAUACCCGAUGUCAAAUCAAAAAAAAAAUGGAGGCGAAAGAUACCACAACAAUGUCGUAUCAGACUACUUGUCUCCUUGUAGUUGGAUCUCCAAUUUUUUGGAAUGUUCCAAAUUCCACUUGAGCAUCCAAAUCUGGAUCAAUACCAGCAAAAACAUCUCUGAACAAGGUUCUAGCGCCAUGCCAAAUGUGUCCGAAAAAGAAGAGCAAAGCAAACGUAGCAUGCCCAAAAGUGAACCAACCCCUUGGACUGCUACGAAAAACACCAUCGGAUUUCAAAGUAGCCCGAUCUAAUUCAAAAAUUUCACCUAAUUGGGCACGUCUAGCAUAUUUUUUCACAGUAGCAGGAUCAGAAUAACUUACUCCAUUAAGUUCGCCACCAUAGAACUCAACAGUAACACCUACUUGGUCAACACUAUACUUUGAUUCUGCCCUUCUAAAAGGAACAUCAGCUCUCACAAUUCCGUCUUCAUCUACCAAAACUACCGGAAAUGUUUCAAAAAAAGUAGGCAUACGACGUACAAAAAGCUCGCGCCCUUCUUUAUCUCUAAAGACGGGGUGUCCUAACCAUCCAACAGCAAUUCCAUCCCCAUUGUCCAUUGAGCCUGCUCUGAAUAAUCCCCCUUUUGCCGGAUUAUUACCAAUAUAAUCAUAAAAGGCUAAUUUUUCGGGAAUUUUAGACCAAGCUUCCGAUAAACUAAGAUUUUCGGCUAGCCCGGCACUAACUCUUCGAUAUAUUUCUUGCUGAAAGUAUCCCUGAUCCCACUGAUAACGAGUAGGACCAAAUAAUUCGAUUGGGGUAGUUGCUGAACCAUACCACAUAGUUCCAGCAACAACAAAAGCUGCAAAAAAAACAGCAGCGAUACUACUGGAAAGUACAGUUUCAAUAUUGCCCAUACGUAAUCCUUUGUAUAGACGUUGAGGCGGACGGACACUAAGAUGGAAUAGGCCUGCUAAUAUGCCCAAUGUACCCGCUGCAAUAUGAUGAGAGGCUAUUCCUCCCGGAACAAAAGGAUCAAAACCUUCCGCGCCCCACGCUGGAUUUACAGAUUGUACUUUUCCAGUUAGUCCAUAAGGGUCGGACACCCAUAUUCCAGGACCAUACAAACCUGUUACAUGAAAUGCGCCAAAGCCAAAGCAAGCUACCCCUGAGAGAAAUAAAUGAAUUCCAAAGAUCUUGGGCAAAUCCAAAGAAGGUUUUCCCGUACGUUCAUCACAGAAUAUUUCUAGGUCCCAAUAUACCCAAUGCCAGAUAGCUGCCAAGAAGCACAAGCCGGAAAACACUAUAUGUGCCCCUGCCACACCUUCAUAACUCCAAAUACCCGGAUUUGUUAUAGUUCCUCCUGAAAUACUCCAACCACCCCACGAAUUGGUUAUUCCUAAACGAGUCAUGAAGGGUAUAACGAACAUACCUUGUCUCCACAUUGGAUCAAGAACGGGAUCAGAGGGAUCAAAAACCGCUAAUUCGUAUAAAGCCAUCGAACCAGCCCAACCAGAAACUAGAGCUGUAUGCAUUAUAUGAACAGAAAGCAAUCGACCGGGAUCAUUCAAUACGACAGUGUGAACACAAUACCAGGGCAAACCCAUGGAAAUACCUCUUUAUCAAAGAAAAAUAGACACUAUGUCACUUUAUUUUAUCGCAUUGGAAAAGACUAUAUAUACUAUGUACCUAACCUUUUCAGUAGAUUCUGUAUCAGAAAGGAUUAAUAUUUAUUCCAUUCCAUUGAAAAUAACGGAACAAUUUUGUUCGUAAGAACAAAGAGAAGCAGAUCUAUUCUAUACCCGAUAAGUACCAGUACACAAUGGGAGGAUUGGUCCCCUUUUUUGGGAACGAAUGGAUAGAUACUUGUUUUUCUUUCGAAUGAUCGAUUUCUUCAUUCAAAAUUUUUCUUUAUUCAUUCUAUCUUACUUUCCAAUCUAUGUAUCAAAUAGAAUAAAGAGAAAAAAGGGAUGAAGACAAUAAACCACUGAUUGUUACGUUUCCAUAUUAAAGUGAAGUAUAGUACUAAAUUUUUUUCUUUAAUUUAAUGCCCAUUGGUGUUCCAAAAGUACCUUUUCGGAGUCCUGGAGAGGAAGAUGCGGUUUGGGUUGACGUAUAGUGCGACUUGUCAGACAUAUUGGGUCAUAUGGGAUUUACCCGUUCUCUCCCCUUAUCGAGAUAUCCUCUGUUUCGCCCAAGAGAUAUUGUAUUGAGUGAAGCAUCAAUCAAUCAUUCGGAGCGUGAAGUGCAAUUAGAUCAAUUUAUUUUAUAUUAGGGAUCAAUAUUAUCAAUUUAGAAGAAUUUAUGGUUUACUUGGACUGAUAAAAUAAAGUAUCCAGGCUCCGUUCAGAAAAUACCAAAUCGAUAACAAAUUGUUAUUAUCAUCCAUAUUUCAUUAUCAUCCAUAUUCUUAGUAAAUACUAUGUUCACCAUUAGUAUGUAUAUAAUAUANNNNNNNNNNNNNNNNNNNNUUUCCUUUUUUUUUUUCGCUCGUGGUUACCGACGUAAAUCCGACAUACUUAUUGGUCGUCUAAGCUAUGCACUCUUUUUAAGGUCUCGACUUUGACUCUUCACCCUUGAGGGCUUGCUUAAUGUUAAUUGUUAAGCUUAUCUUGUUAAGUAACAUGUUUCUAAAACUGGUUUAUUUUCGUAAUUCCGUACGAAAGUGACAAAUGUAAACCGAAAACGAUGUUUAACAAUGUAUUACGUAGUUGUUUUGGAGAACCUAUUGUGUAAGUCACCGACAAUCCUUUCUUAACUCGAUUAAAAGUCGACGGGCUUAAGGUCUUCGGUUUCGUUUUCGGUCUAGUUCCUUGUGGUUGGACCUUCCUUUGAUGUAAUCAGAUUUAGUUUUCACUGUAUUUUAAUCGUUUACUACUAGAAGGAUUUCCGGACAAUCGUACGAUCUUUCUUCAGAUGUUGUUGUGUAGAGGAAAGCAAAUGAGUUUUCUAGUUUAACUGUCGACCAAAAACUCUCCGUAUUUUUGUCCUAGAUGACAUAGAUUACCGGAUUACCGUACGAUUUACACGUCGUCUCCCGAAAUGUUUGUCUAGGUGCAAUUGUGUAAUUGCUAUAAACUAUUGUUUAAUCCUAUCUAAACUUAGCUAAACGUCAAGUUGUGUAGAUGCAAUUAUAUUAACCCCAGUUUUAACAACAAACUACUUCACAUUAACCUAACAUUUUUCCAUAUUAAUUAUUUCUUGAUAAUGGCUGGGUUUAUCAUAUUGAAUAGUACAUUAAGUUAUUUCACUACGACACGAAGAUGUCUGUUGAAUGUUUUAGCCUUUAUUGGGAAUAAAGUAUGAUGAUAGAGCUAUGUUUUAGAGUACAAUACUUUUUUGUUAUUACCAAACAAGUAUAGCUUGAGCUUCAUGGUACGAUAAUAAUGAAUAUUAAAAGAAAAUAUUAGUUAUACCGCUUCUGUAUUAGAAGAGAAAAAAAAAGUUAGUUUAUUUUUGAGUAACCCCGGUUCGUACUCCCUUACGAUCUGCCAACCAUUAAAGAGGAGGUUGGUCUUAUUUUCUAGGGUAACUGUGCCGAUUAGGGUACGUAUAACAUACGUGUAGUCCACCGUGUUUAACGUAUCAUAGUAUUUACCGAUAAAGACAAUAAUGGGUAGGCGGCCCUCUCAAAUAUUUGUUUAUUUCUAAGGAUCAUAGUAGAAGAUAUGACUCUAUAUGGUACUCUGGUUGUUCAACUAAGCUCUAGAACGAUAGUUGGAGGACCGGAUUUUUUUUUCAUUAGAAAGAGCUAUUUCAGCCAACUAAUCCUGUUUUAACAUAGAGAAUCCUGUUUUAACGUAGGGAAUCCUUGGCAUGCACGUGGAACCUACGUAUGUCAACUUUUUUUAACGCUUUUUUUUUCUUAGUUACACAGCUAAGGUCAAAAUAAAGAAAAAAAAAACUACAUUGUCCAAAAAAAUUACUUUCCAGGAGAUAAUUUUUUCUGCUCUGUUCAAAACCGAGAGAAGGGAGGUUUUUUUUUUUUCUCAUGACUUGAAUAAUUUGAUUGGAUAGUAAAUACAUAACAAAGUAGCUAUAAUUUUAGUGCUACAGUAACAGAACAAGGACUUACCCAGGAAAGUUAAGAAAAUCCAAAUACCAGAUGGAACCCUUUUCUAGACAGGCUUAGAUAAACGUGUAUAUCGUGUUUACUAGAGUCAUGGGAAAAAAACAAUACUGAAGAAAAAGAAAAAUCAAUUAAAGCACAGAACGAAAGGGUUUUGAUAAACUACAUAAGUAGUAUGAUAAGGCAACCAGCCGUUAAACCCUAGUGAUGAUAUCAUUAUAAUCCAUAUUUCGUUCCUAAAUUUACGGCACCGUGCCCCAGCACGGCUUUUGAAUGGCCGUGUCAUGUCGUGCCACGCAUGGCUCGGCACGGCUACGCACGGCCAGUUUUUUUAAGAACAUACGGCUGUGUAUUAUCGUACUUUAUAAAUAAAAGAAAGCGUGUGUAGAAAACUUGAAAUAACUUCUUUAAUGAAAGAUAAAAUUUCUUAUCUCCCAAAACUCGACACGGUUGCCAUGCCCUAGACAUAGCACGGUCAUAGAACAACCGUGCCAUGCCGUGCCACCUUUUUUUUUUUAAAAAAAAAAGACCUCUAGAGCACAUUAAUAAAUAAAUAUGGCUCACUCUAAAAAGUUACCGUGAAAUGUCUCAGCACCGAUAAAAAUCUUUUUUUAAUCUUCCAAAACAUAGGUGAAGUUGGGGGAAUUAUUGACAAGUUAAUUCACAACAAUUCACACGCCAAUAGAUGGAUGUAGAACAAUUGGUACAGCUGUGACAACUGAAGUUGAGAGAGUACAGCGCAAUAACAGAAUCGUAAGUGAAAGAAAGAAUCACACAAUUGCUAUCGUUGAAAGAUGCCAGCAGGCCAGGGAAGAACAACUUUUACUACAGCUUGUGGAUUAUUUCGCAACUCUUCAAUGGCUUUCUUUGGCAAAACUGCUGCACCACAUAUAGCAGAACAACAUUUGCAAAAGAACAGGCAGAAAGCCAAACUGAAAUUUGCUAAAGAACAAAAAAAAAAGAAAAAGAAAAAAAUCAAGAAGUUUACUACAACGAUCAAGAACCAAAGAAGGCAGAAUCUUUAUUAAAAAAAUUUUGCUUGGAAAGCAAAAUAAAUAAUGUGUCACGCCCGGGAUAUCAGCGGAAGCAUAUCCGGAACGUGCACAGAUCCGCCAUACACCUACAGUAUAUAAGGCGUCUACAAGAAACAAGUCGAUAGGAGUAAAAAAGACAUAAAAUAACCCUAUCCAGAUAUCAGAGCAUAGCAAAAGUCACCAGACUAUCAACAAUAGAAUAAGGAGCAACAAUCCAAAAUUUCAACAAUCAAGGAGUAUCUCAACUGAAACAUCUAGUCCAACAGUAACUAUACAUCACGGGGUAUACAAAAAGUAGGUACAAUGGUAGUCACUCUAUGCACUGGACAUCACCCUCGGCAGUAGCCCGAGUAGCAAGGUGAUCAACUAGCAUGCCCCUAGCAAUGUCUAGCUAGACGCGACUCCCUUGCCACGAUCCCUAGCCUCUCCUGUAGAUGGCUCUGUAAAAAUAACAACAAAAAGGGCGUGAGAACUAUAAACAAUAGUUCCCAGUGGGUAAGCCGCCAGCCUCGGCAAAUUACACCACUAGGCUCAUGAUGUACUGAAUGAGAACAAAAAUGAUAAUUGCAUGAUAAUAAGCAUGAUAUUAAGCAUAUAGUCAACCUGUAGUAACUUUCUACAGUAAUGAAUCAUUUGCAUAAGAGAGAUAUAGCAACUUUUAUAAUCAUGAACAUAAAUAUGAAUAUAUGCAUGAAUGUGAAGUGACUACUGUACACUUUUACUAGUAAGCAUUCAUUACCGUCCUUUGUCAUUUAGUACUUUCACCUCAAUAGAAUUUUCCUUUCAUUCAUCAGGACCUAUCCCAGGUAGUCCGGCUUGCGCCGCGCCUAAUGGCCCCGUGGUAGUAUACACUCCCCACGGCAAUCCACUUCGGCACCCAAUCCCGCACGGGCGAGCAACUGUCGCGUAGGCCAACUCCGGAGUGCCGGCUUGUAGGGAGCUACCCUCACAAGCGUGUGCGAAUGAGCACAAUGGCAAGCAAGCAAAAUCCAUAGUCCAACAUAUUUCAAACAUCAUGGUAUAGUAUGCUAUGUUCUACUCUCGAUCUAUUGAUCGGAAUUCUCAAUAUAAAGAAUGUAGACAAUAACUAGUAUCCACUAGGUUAGUAAGCAUGUGAGAAUAAUGCGAAUUCACAUAGGGCAUUAAAACUAUCCACUAUCAUAGCACUAUCAUUAUAGUCACAAAUCAUGUCAUAGUUCUCUACUUUAUAGAAGCAUUACAAACUUAGCUCUUGGUUGUUCUACUGAACUAAACCAGAAUACUAUUAUGCAUGAAUACUUUUAUGCAUGUAUGCUCUCUACUUCAUAGAGGUUCUAUUGCAGUUAUAUCAAAUGUUAUAGUGACAUGCUCCAAAUACUUUACCAAUCACAAUAAUCCCAAAUACACACACUAUACCAAUUCUAUAGUCACAUAUAGAACAUAGGGGAGCUUCACUUGCUCUGGUUAGGUCAAACCCACCUAUUACUGAGCUCAAAUCAGUUCCACGACGUCUCGAAAUUUAGCUCUACUAAACAAACUUCAAUCCUGCUGAAAACAAUGUAACAAAACCACGUCGAGAUGAUUAGUUAAGAAUCCAAUUUCGGCAAAACUCUUACGUAGAGUAAGGUAGUAACUUGAAUUCUUGGUUUGGGUUACAUUAGUACCUCAAAUGUAACCUCUAGGAGUCCUCACAAUUCAGCCGAACAUAAUCCAAGGCUCGAUCAUAGUCUCGCUGCGAACAAUAUCAAAAUGGCAUCAACAUGCGUGUAUAUGAGCUUAUAUAGUUCAAUUCUUGCGAAAUUGAAUUUUUAACGGAAGUUCCUGNAAUGGCAUCAACAUGCGUGUAUAUGAGCUUAUAUAGUUCAAUUCUUGCGAAAUUGAAUUUUUAACGGAAGUUCCUGCUUACCUUGGGUUAGAGCAGCUUCCAAACCAGAUUCUAAGAGUACAAAUUCAACUCAACGAAGCUCGAAGACCUGCUGCGAAAAAAUAAUCCCAAAACUGCAUCAAUUUCCCGAUUAAAAUUUGGUUAGAUCCGGAAUAGCGUCAUUACAACUAAUUACCUUGUUCCAGUGUCAAAGCAACUUAUCCCUGGUGUAAAGUGGAUAAUUCACAGCUAACUAAGUCACCUUGAGCUGCUGAAAUCCUCCACCAACUCUGCUGGGAGUAAUAAAACCAUAACAACUCAAAAUCCACUACUUAACUUUCGAUUAACGAAGGGUUUAAGCGAUUUACCUUUCUAUAGCUGCGACCCAGUUUUCCUGAGGUUAAGAUCACAGAAAAAUCAGUAUAAAUCCUCCCUCCCACGUUCCAAAGACUUUCCCCAAGUCUUCCAACUAGCGAGUAACGAGCUCGGCUCGAAAUCGGCGCGAAAUGGCGAAUUUCCCUUAGAGAGAGAAAACCCUAGAGAGAGAGUGUGGAGGAGGUGAAGAAGUCUUCUCUGAGCUCCAGCACCAUCUGAACAGGUCCAAGGGUCGAGCUGGGAGGAUAGGGAUGAGUAAAGGAUGUGAAAAGACCAAAACAGCCUUACUGCCACGCAGCUGCAGCUGCUGCUGCUUGCUGUACCGGUACAGCAUUAUGCCUGUACUGGUACACAAUGCAAAAAUCUGCCCAAUGUGCAGAAGCAAUGCAUUUUCUUAUCUCCGGCAAUCCGAUCACUCUCUAACUUGUCCAAGAACUUAUCCAAGCCUUCUAGAACAUGUUGGAUAGUUCCACAACUCAUGCCACACACUCGAGCUCCGCAAUUUGCAAAAGUUCAGUGUAUUACAUUCACCCCUCCUAAAAAGGAGUUUCGUCCGCGAAACGAAAACAGUUACCUCAAAAUAUCUUCAAAAUAGGUGAGGAUAGUGUUCCUGCAUUACACUUUCCAAUUCCCAAGUUGCUUCGCGUUCAUCAUGAUUGCUCCAAAGUAUCUUUACGUACGGUAUCUCGCGAUUUCGAAGCCGUUUCACUUCUCGAGCUAGUAUUCUCACUGGAUGCUCUUCGAAGCUCAAAUCUUCUUGUAAAUCCACUGGAGUACUCUCCAAUAUGUGAGUUGGAUCAAAAACAUAUUUCCGGAGCGUAGAUACAUGAAAUACAUUAUGUACUCCUGAUAGAUUCGGCGGCAACGCAAGCUGAUACGCUACGGGGCCUAUUCGUUCCAGCACCUCGUAGGGUCCAAUAAAUCGAGGACUUAACUUCCCUCGUAUACCAAAUCUCUUAACUCCUUUCGUCGGUGAAACUUUCAGAAAUACAUGAUCGCCAACCUGAAAUUCCAAUUCCCGCCGACGUUUGUCCGCAUAACUCUUUUGUCGACUUUGAGCUGUCAGUAGUCGUUCUCGCGCAAGUCGAACUUUAGCUUCAGCCUCUUGUAAUACAUCUGGACCCAAGACUAAUCUUUCACCCACUUCACUCCAAUGAAGUGGUGAUCUGCACUUUCUACCAUAAAGGGCUUCAAAAGGUGCCAUCUGAAUGCUUGCUUGAUAACUGUUGUUAUAAGCAAAUUCAGCCAUUGGUAGGAACUGUGGCCAACUGCCCUGGUAAUCCAUCACACAGGCCCUCAACAUAUCCUUCAGGGUCUGGAUAGUACGCUCAGACUGCUCAUCACUCUGAGGGUGGAAAGCAGUACUAAAAUCUAAUCGAGUACCCAUGGCCUCCUGUAAACUCUUCCAGAAAUGUGAAACAAAUCGGGUGUCUCGAUCUGGAACAAUAGAAACAGGAACUCCGUGUAAUCGCACAAUUUCAUCAAGAUACACUUGUGCGAUUCUUUCCCCCGACCACACUGUAUGAAUUGGAAUGAAGUGGGCGGAUUUAGUCAAUCUAUCCACAAUUACCCAAAUUGCAUCAUAACCUGCCUGAGAGCGAGGUAAUCCAACAAUAAAAUCCAUAGUAAUCCUCUCCCACUUCCACACUGGUAUGGGUAAACUUGUAGUUUCCCUGCAGGAAGUCGAUGUUCAGCCUUAACCUGCUGACAGGUUAAGCAUCUGGCCACAAAAUCAGCAACUUCUUUUUUCAUUCCAAGCCACCAGUAAGUCGACUUCAGAUCUUUAUACAUUUUUGUACUCCCGGGGUGUAAAGUAUACGGUGCCCGAUGUGCUUCAGUUAGAAUCUCCUCUUUAAUAUUUGAAUCUGCUGGCACACAUAGCCUAUCGCCGAAUUUUAUCAAUCCCUGAUCAUCCACUUGAAAGUCACCACCAUCAUGAUCCGCAGUGAUCUUUGCUCGGAUCUUUUGCAGGGACUCAUCCUGAGCUUGUUUUUCUUUAAUUCGAUCGAUCAGGGUAGGUUGCACUACUAAUGACAUAAGGCGCCAAGGCGUGUCAGGAGCUACAACUUUCAAAUUCAACUGCUCCAUUUCCUUUACUAAUAGUGAUUGCAUAGUUAUUGACAUUGCCAAAUUUUCCGUCGAUUUUCGACUUAAAGCAUCUGCUACAACAUUCGCCUUUCUUGGAUGAUAAAGGAUAGUCAAAUCAUAGUCCUUGAGCAACUCCAACCAUCUACGUUGUCUCAAGUUUAAUUCCUUCUGCGUAAACAGAUACUUUAAACUUUUAUGAUUAGUAUAGACUUCGCAACGCUCGCCGUAGAGGUAGUGGCGCCAAAGCUUUAAAGCAAAUACCACAGCGGCUAACUCAAGAUCAUGUGUAGGGUAGUUCUUCUCAUAAUCUUUCAAUUGACGAGAUGCAUAAGCAAUUACUCUGCCAUUAUGCAUUAGAACACACCCUAAUCCAUUCAGCGACGCAUCACUGUAAAUUACAUAAUCCACUCCAGUAAUAGGCAAUGCUAAAAUCGGAGCGGUAGUCAACCGUUCCUUUAGCUCUUGAAAGCUUCUUUCGCAGGCUUCAUUCCACAAAAACUUAGCUCCUUUGUGUGUCAGUCGAGUAAGAGACGUAGACAAUUUCGCAAACCCUUCAACAAAUCUUCGGUAGUAUCCCGCCAAGCCAAGGAAACUCCGAAUCUCUGUCACGCUAGUCGGCCUCAGCCAAUCUUUAAUCGCUUCAAUCUUCUUUGGAUCCACAGCUAUCCCAGUUUCUGAAAUGACAUGACCCAGGAAUGCUACUUCUCGAAGCCAAAAUUCGCAUUUCUUUAAUUUUGCAAACAAUUUCUUUUCUCGAAGUACUUGUAACACCACUCUUAGAUGGCUUUCAUGCUCCUCAUCGCUUCGAGAAUAGAUCAAGAUAUCGUCGAUGAACACGACCACAUAUCUGUCCAGAUAGGGCUUAAAGACACGGUUCAUUAAAUCCAUAAAGGCUGCUGGGGCAUUUGUUAAUCCAAAUGGCAUAACUGUAAAUUCAUAAUGCCCAUACCGUGUCCUAAAAGCAGUCUUAGAGACAUCUUCAGGUUUGAUCUUAAGCUGAUGAUAACUUGAUUGCAAAUCAAUCUUGGAAUAUACCUUCGAUCCUUGCAACUGAUCGAAUAAAUCGUCGAUUCUGGGUAAUGGAUAUUUAUUCUUGAUUGUGACUUUGUUGAUUUCUCGAUAAUCCACGCACAAUCGAAGAGAUCCAUCCUUUUUCUUAACAAAUAACACCGGUGCUCCCCAAGGUGACACACUCGGUCGAAUGAAGCCUUUAUCUAAAAGAUCUUGUAACUGCGCCUUCAGCUCUUUCAAUUCAGCGGGUGCCAUCCUAUAGGGUGCUUUCGAGAUAGGAGUUGUCCCAGGGGCAAGAUCAAUCACAAACUCCACUUCCCUAUCCGGUGGCAUACCCGGCAAUUCAGCUGGAAACACAUCCCCGAACUCCCGCACAACUGGAAUAUCAUCAAUCUGGAUGGCUUCACCACCACUCACAGAAAUACUAGCCAAAUAGGCUACACAACCUCUCCGAAUUAACUGUCGGGCUCGCGAGGAGCUAAUAGUCAUUGCAAACAAUGAACUCUGACACCCUUUAUAAACAAACUCCUGCUGACCCGGUUCCCUAAAGGUCACCGUCCUGUUCGUGCAAUCUAUGGUGGCAUAAUACCGUGUCAACCAAUCCAUACCCAAUACUACAUCAAACUCACCUAGUUUGUGUAGUGCUAAUAAAUUCACUGGCAUAAUUCAGUCGCCUACCCUAACUGGGCAGUGAGGGCAAAACUCACAAACAUCAAGGGUAUGGUCAGGUACAAUCACUCGUCCAAGAUGCAAAGUAGGUAGGGGUGGAACUGGACCGGGUUUGGGUCGAGUAAUGCUAUGCCCAAGCCCGGCCCAAAAAAAAAUAUCGGGCUUCGGGUCGGGCUUUUACCCAUUUUUUUAAAAAAAUUAAAGCCCGGCCCAAGCCCAAGCCCAAUACCCAAUACCAAUCGGGCUUUGUGGAGGCCCAUUUUAUGCAUUUAUCAUAUAAUACAUAAAUAAUUUUAUUGUAUAAAAUUAAAAUAAAAAACCUACUUUUAUUGGAAUUUUAUCACAUCAAAGAAAUUAAUAUCUAAUAUCAAAUAUAAUACUAUUAAUGUCUACCAAUAAUUAUCCAUCAAUGAAAUAAGACCAAACAAAGAAAAUUAAUAAACUAAAACUAAGACUUAGACAAGUAAAAGAUGUGUUUCAGCAAUCUUCACUCCUACUCCGAUGCUAGCAAUCCUACAAAAUAAAUAAUAACAAUAUUGGUGAGAAUUAUUCUAUAAUUACAAUAUUGAUAUGAAAAAGAAGGAUAUUACUAACCUUUAUCAAAUAGGAAUUUGAUAACCUCUCAACGGAUUUUCUCAUCACUCAUCAUUAGAAUCAAAAAAUGUUGAAGUCGAAGGAUCUGCAUUUUUUUGUGCAUGCAAGUAAUUAUUAAUCUAUUAGUCUUAAAUUAAAUAUAAGUCAAAUAACAAAAUUGUAAAAAUUAUUCUUACCAUUUUGGUAUUCAGUACUUAUCCAAUCUUUCGAGCAAACUAAUGCUUCAACUAUUUCCGGAUUCAUUGAGCUGCGAAACUGAUCUAUAAUUCUGCCACUUGUACUAAAAGCUGAUUUCGAUGAAACAGUUGUAACUGGAAUUGCUAAAAUGUCUCGUGCCAUUCUUGAAAGUACUGGGUAGUAUAAUGUGUUAUUCUUCCACCAAUCCAAAAUAUCAAAAUGCAUAUUCUUUAUAUCCAUCACAUCUUCUUCUAAAUAUUUAUCCAAUUCUGAGCUCUUUGGACGUUCAACAAGUUGCCUUUUAUAUUCAGAAAACUUUAUAUCCACUAACUUUCUUUUGCUUGAAUCAGUUGCGUCACAUGAAGUGCCAUCAUGUUUUGUACUAAUAUUCUCAGCUGAAAUUUUAGAAAAUUGGCUAUUUCUUUUAUUCGCAUAAAUAGUGUAGAAGGUGGCAAGAGUUUCAUAAAUCUCACCAAUUUUUAAAGUGCUCUCCUCCUCAUCAUAAACCUCCUUAAAACAACAUUCCAAAAAAAUCAACUUCAUUCGUGGAUCUAGAAUUGAUGCAAUUAACAACAUUUUGUUGCAUUCAGACCAAUACUUAUUAAAUUUUUUUUGCAUUUCAAUUGUCAAUUGCUUUAUUGUUUCGUCAGUAGCAAGCUUCCCAUCCGAUAAUACAGUACGAAUUUCCCACACUUCUUUAAAGUACAAAUUGGCAGUUGGGUACUUGGUUCCAGAGAAGACUUUGGUUGCAUCCUGAAAUGACUCUAAAAAUUUUGAAAUUGUUUCAAUUUUCUUCCAUUCCUCACUAGAAGGGCAAUUAUUAUAAUACUCGCUUGCAUAUCUGUUAAGAACAUCUUUAUAAGAUAAUGCAUCACGAAGCAUAUAAAAUGUGGAAUUCCAUCUCGUAGCAACAUCAAGGGCAAAUCCUUUUUUUGGAGGAAGUCUCAUUUGUUUUGCCAUGUCAUUAAAUACUUGCAUUCUAGAAGGUGUUACUGUGACAUAUCUAAUGAUCUCCCUAAUAUUCUCAAUAGCAUCUCGAAUUAUCCUCAUUCCAUCUUGCACCAUAAUAUUUAAGAUAUGCGCACAACAUCUUAUGUGAACAUGGUCACCAUUAAACCUCAAUUUGUGAGUAAAUUUAUCUCUAAACCUUCUAAUCAUAGAGUCAUUGGUGCUACAAUUAUCCAAAGUAAUUGCAAGCACCUUUUCAUCAAGAUCCCAAUCAUAUAUGCAUUUUUCUAAUGCAUCUUCGAUAACAAAACUUGUGUGAGGAUAUGCUAGUUUCUUAAAGCUAAUAAUUCUUUUGUUUAAGAUGAAACCAUCAUCGAUAUAAUGUGCUGUAAUGACCAUAUAACCAAGCUUUUGAUUUGAUGUCCAUAAAUCAGUUGUGAAGCACACACAAGAAGUUAAUUUUUGAAGACUAUUCUGUAUCUUUUUCUUCUCACUUUCGUAGUAAGCAAGACAAUCUUUUUUAACCGUCUUCCUUCCUACAAUAUUAUAUAAUGGUUGAAGAGAUUUGAUCCACUCGGUAAGAACCGGAUUCUCCGCAAAAAGAAAUGAAAGUUCACCGUAAAUAAUCAACUUUGCAAACAGCCUCCGACUGUGUUCCAGAUUAAAUGUAAAACAUUUAAUUUCAUCUCUUGCAGAAUUGGAUAGCAACAUUUGUCUAAUAUCCUUAUUCGGUCGCUUAUUGCAAGCAUGUUCUAAGUGACGAGUAAGAUGAGUUGUCCCCGAUUUACUACCAGCUGAUAAUAAAUGUUUGCAAUGAUUGCAUUUUGCCUUAGGACCAUUUGGAGUAUUUUCAAUCAUAAACUCGUCCCAUACUUUAGAUCUUCUCUUACUCUGUUUGGCUUCUUCAUUUUCCUUCUUAUUUAUUAUACUUUCAUUAGGCCCAACAAUUUUCGUAGUAUUAUUUUCAUCCACAUUUUGAUUAGACAUGAUGAUUGGCAACCAAAUAAUCCUGUUUCAUAAUUUAAUACACGUGCUAUUAAAUAUGAGUAAAGAUGAAUGAAAUCUUAAAAAAAAAAACACAAAUGAGACCUAAAAAAUUAAUUAGUAAAAAAUAAUUUAUAAAAAGUAGAAUGUGUAAAUUUUUGUUAUUUGUUCAUGAGUCGUAACUACACCAAUACAAAAGAACGAUAAACAAAUAGCACAAAUCUGACUAUAAAAAAUAAAAAUCAUACCGGUGUCGUUGUAUCGCGGAUGCGAGGGCAACCUGUCUGCCGCGAACUAACCGGCCCCGCCGUAGGUUGUUUCUAAGGCGAGUGGUCAUUCAUGGUAGAGAUAAAAUUUGUUUAUGUUUUAUUUUGAAAUCAGGAUUAUAGGUUCAUGGCUUCCAACAGACUCAAGAAUUUGUUGUUAAUUACCCCACACUUUCGGUGUUAAGGAACCCUCGAUUAAGAGACCAAAUAUAAAUGCUGAUAAUAAAAAAGACAAAACAGGCAAAUAAAAUUUUAUUGAUAUGAUUUGCCGUUUACAUGGCUUAAGCAGGGGCAUACCCCCACUNUUUUUUUGAAAAGGAAUGAUACCUUGAUUAAGGUAUGAAAAUUUUUUUUCUUUCCUUCCUUUUUUUGAAGUGGGAUAUUUUUUCAAAUUUUACAUUUUUCCCUUUUUUUUCUUUUUUUUUAUUUUUUUUUAUUUCAUUUUUUUUUACUCGAACACAACCUCCUUGCAGGAAAUCGGCAACGAUUGAAGAUCGUUAAGAUGGUCAAGAUGGCGACUGAUGUAGGAUAGGAACUUCUCACGUAAGGAUAGAACGUUUAAUUAAUUGUGACAUAUCCGUAUAUGUGAUUUUUUAAAGGAAUAUUAUGGUAUUAAUUUUAAAAUUUUAAAAUUAUCCUUAAAUUAUGUACAUAGAUGAUAGAACGUCUAAUUAUGUACAUAGAAUUAACUAACUAUAUUAAUAAUAAUACAAUUUAAUAUAUCCUAAUAUGGAACUAAAUAUUUUGUUAAUAUAUAAUAUAUCCUCAUAUAUAUAAAUAUAUAUCAUUAUUCAUUAAUAACAAUAUAUACUAUAUAUGAAUAUAUGAUAUUCAUAUACUAUAUCAUUUAUUCCUUUUAUAGAUAAAUAUAUAUAUAUAUAUAUAUAUAAUAUAAUUAAAUAUUUUAUAUUGAUAAUUAAUAUAUCGGGCUUUCGGGUCGGGCUCGGGCCGGGCUUGGGCAUGCCCAAAUAGGCCCAAAUUUUUUUCGGGCCUAAAUUUUUAAGCCCGGCCCGAACCCAAAGUUAUAUUUUCCAUACCCAAAGCCCGGCCCAAACAUGGCCCAUCGGGCCGGGCCUUGUUUAGGCCCGGGCCCAGUUCCACCCCUAAAAGUAGGUACUACCUGAAUGCUAUGCAACUCGGCGAACUACCGAUCAAUAAAAGAAUGCGAAGCACCAGUAUCAAAUAAUGCACGAACAUGAAUACAUAAAGCAUAAUGAUACCUGCUACGACCUCCUCCGCUGCUACGGCCUCUUCAGUCUGGACGGCAUACAUGCGCCCACUCGAACCCUGUCGAGAACUCUCAGACUGCCGCUGUCCCGGUGGUCGUCUGUAUUGCGAGGGUGCUGACGGGGUCCCCUGGCUCGGAGCUGAAGAUGCAGGGGCUGAUGCCGAUGAGGGUGCAGGUGAAGAACCUCUCGGGCACUCUGAACGAAAGUGGCCCUCCUGACCACAAAGGAAGCACCUACCUCCACGUUGUGGACACUAUGGUGGAAAGUGAGGCCCACCACAAAUGACACAACGUGGCUGUCGACGACGCUCGGGUGCUCCACGGGGUGCUGAAGAACCUCGACCUCUUGACUGGCCCGGCUGGCCCCUCGGAUACUUUGGCGGUCUCCUGAAGGGUUGCUCACCACUGCUCUCAGCUGCUGGCCUCUUCCNAUAUGGUUCAUGGAUUUGGUGUAUGGAUUUGGUUCAUGAACUUGGAUAUGGUUCAUGGGUUUGGUGUAUGGAUUUGGUUCAUGAACUUGGAUAUGGUUCAUGGGUUUGGUGUAUAGAUUUGGUUCAUGAUUCAAGAAAUUUGGGUUUAGUUUAACGACUUUUCGGUCAUUUGGAUUCGGGUUUAGUUUAGCGAUUUUUCGGUCGUUUGGAUUUGGGUUUAGUUUAACGACGUUUCGGUCGAUUGAAAUCGAGGUAUUCAUGAAACUGAUUCAUGAAAUUAAAUAAUGCUAGGAGCCCAUUUGUAAAGUCCACCAAGUUAUUUGAUGAAAUUAAUUCAUGAUAGGGGCCAUUUGGAGAGCCCAUUGGUUCAUGAUAUUAAUUUAUGACAAAGAGGACCCAUGAAACUAAUUCAUAGAAUUAAUUCGUGAUAGGGGAUACAUUUGGAAAGCCCAAAAAAUUAAUUCAUAGAAUUAAUUCAUAGUGAGGGGCCCAUUUGGGAAGCCCAUGAAUUUGGUUUGGGUUAGAGGUAUUUGGGUGACAUAGGUUUGAUAGAUUUGGUUAGGUUUUAUUUGUAGGUUUUGGAUUUUGGAUCUUUAUUCGUGGACUUUGUGGACUUUGGGUUUUAGAUCUUUAUUUGUGGACUUUGUAGAUUUUGGUUUUUUUUGGGUUUUUUUAUUUGUGGACUUUGUGGGUUUCGUUUUUUGGGUUUUUAUUUGUGGACUUUGUGGGUUUGGGUUGUGGAUCUUUAUUUGUGGACUUUGUGGGAUUGGGUUAAGGGAUUUUAUUCAUAUAUUUUUUAUUGGCUUUGGAUCCAAAUCUGAAUGUGGGCUGAAAUGGAUUUCAGACUUUGCAUAUUUUAGGCCUUAGACCCGAAUCUAUAUGUGGGUUGAAGUAUGCUGCGGGCUUUACAUGUUCUGGGCCUGAACCUGUAUAUGGGCUGGACUUUUAUUGAUUUAUAUCUGCACAUGGGCUGUGUCACGCCCCGGGACCGGCGGAGGCCCUCCCGGUAGCGUGCCCAGACCCGCCAUAUGUCUACACAUAUAAGGCGUCUACAAUAAAAGCGGAAGUAAAAACAAGUAAUAGAACAAAUAGAAGAAGUGAAAUAACUAGCAACUAAUGAUAUCAGAGCGAGUAUAGUUCUACUUCUACACCAAAGGAAAGAAAUAAAGUUAGACAGUGAAAGAAGUCAUAAGUAAUACAAAAUCUGUCUCCAAAAUACAAAAGUGGUGGUCUCUAGUACACUGGUAGAACUCUCAACCUCUCGCAAAAAGAAAUAAAAAUCGAGAGGUAGACCACCUAACAACUCGUCCUCGAAGGAAGCUAGCUCGAAACAACUCCCUUCCCGCGAUCCCUGGCCUCACCCUGAGUGGAAGGCUCUGUAAAACAACGAGAAAAAGAGGGCGUGAGAACUAUAAUUUAUAGUUCCCAGUGGGCAAUUACUGACCUCAGCUCAUCGCACCACUAGGCCCCAAAAGAAAAGGAGUAAGUAUAAUAAACAACAAUAAGGAUAACAGUACAACGGUAAAAAAAAAGCAUAAUUGAAGUGCUACCUAUAUGUCUCAAGUAAGCAUGAUGCCAUGGUGAUGUACAUCUACGCUAUCAUAAGAUAAUAAGUCCAAUGCAUACUAAUAUGUCUCAACACAUUAAACAAGUAAACCUCACGAUGCAGUAUGUCAAUGCAUAAGGGUAUACACUAUCCAAAAGACCGAGUAUACUACUAAGCAAUAAUGGAACUGGCAAGUAUACUAAAUGUACCAAUGCUAUAUCAUGAGCAUGUCCAAGCAAUCCAACUACUAAUCCUAUCUAGUAGUGAUAGUCCAUAUACAACGCCGUGUCGAUUUCCAUUUCCAAUUUAAGGACCUACUCAAGGUAGUCCAGCUUGUGCCGCCUAAGUGUCUGUGGUAGCCCGACAUCCCUACUCUUGGAAUGUGUCUGUCCCACUCGACCCCGUAGGCUUCUCAAUACCGCACGAGCGAACGUAGUCGCGUAGGCUAACUCCGGAGUGCCGGCUUGUAGGGAGCGACCCUCACAAGCAUGUGCGAAUGAGCACAAAUGGCAAGCAAGCAUAGUCCAAGUCUCAAAUAUCCAAUCCUCAUGUCUCUAACAUGGUAUGGUCACUAGCAUCCCGAAGAUCUAGUUUAAGUCACAAUGUGAAGUUUCAACAUUUGCUACGCCUAGUGCCCCUUGAUGACACUUAGGCAAUUUGAUGUUCAACAUGUAUUCCAAAUCCCUCAAUGGCCCUAUCCACUAGGUUCUCACAUGUCCCGAGCUCAAUGCCGCUUGAUGACAUUAGCUCUCUAGUUCACAUACCUUCUAAAUGGCAAUCUUGUCAUCUUUCAUGUCACAAGUAAACUCAAGUUUAAAUGCAUGAAUCCGAACUCAUUUAUACUAUAGAAGCAUGAAACCAAGUCUCAUAAAGAAUGCUAAAUGCAACCAAAGAUCUCCCAAGCAACUCUCUACUACAUAGAGGUCCAAAAUUUCAUCAUAUAUAACAUAUGCAUUUUAAGCAUUCUAAAAAUCAUAAUAAAUACAUUUGAUAUGAACAUGCAUGCUUUUUCAAUUUACGGAACAUAAAUAACCAUAUAUGAGAAUUUCUCAUAUGUAGGCUAGGUCAAACCCACCGAACCGUCGCGUAGGGUCUCGAUUCGCCGAACAAAGUUGUCCCCGAGUCUCAAAUUACCCUAAAAGUAAUGAGCGACAAGAUACACGGGCAUUACGAUCAUUUAUAAGAUCAAACUUUAACAAUUUUAGCAAAAGGGCUAAAACUCACCUAAUGAGUGGAAAAUCUCUCUCAAGCUCCAAAAGAGAGCUAAAUCCCUUCCAAUCUAUCCUAGAGGAAGGUUCUAAUCCAAUCAAUCAAGCUCCAAAAGCCCUAAAAUCAAAACGCCCAAAAUAAGCCCUAAAUCUCCAAUCUAGGGUUUCAUCUAGUAUAAAGCUUCAAAACCAAAAUCUAGAGGGAGAGAAGGGGUUACUAACCUCUUAGAAGCUUCAAUCAAGGUUCUAAACCCUUUAAAUUCCAAGAUCAAACCUCCACCUAGCUCCAAGUCCAAGCUCUAAUGGUGGAAAAGCCUCCAAUACCCAAAAAGGAGCAAAAAGAGGUGUUUAAACUCUAAAAAUCCAAGCAAAAUCAAGGAAAAGGAAUAAGGAGGUGUGGAGAGCUCCCUUACCUUCCUCCUUGCUGGUGCCAAGCUCAGGGAAGACCCCUAGGGCGUGGGGGUACUAAUAGAGAUGCCACAAUUGCGAAAAACCCCCUGCAGUUCAAACUGCUCAGAUUCUGCCAAAGUGUACCGGUACACGGAAAAGUGUACCGGUACACAUCUUACGAAAAUGCAAACCCGAGGCUCGGGUUUGAAAUCUGCCACAAGUGUACCGGUACGACCAUCAAGGGUGUACCGGUACAAAGUGUGUACCGGUACAACCAUCGACCUGUCACCGGUUACACCUCGUGCAGAAUGCAAUCCGAGGGUAGGCUAAGUCCAACUCUUUAGUGAGCUUAGCGCUACAUAAAAUACUACAAUUCUCGGGAUGCGAGCCAUAGGUCGGAACACUGUCAACGACCCACCAGAAAGUCUGGAAAAACUCGGGACACUGUCCAAACACUCGAACCCCGCAAUUUGCAAAGGCACAGUGCGUCACAUACACCCCUCCUAAAAAAGAGUUUCAUCCGCGAAACUCGAAAGCAAACGCCGUACCUCAAGGCUCUAUCUGAAAAAGAUGGGAAUAGCGCUCCUGGAGCGCGCUCUCUAGCUCCCAAGUGGCCUCGCGCUCAUCGUCGUUGCUCCAACGCACCUUCACGUAGGGGAUUUCCCGGUUCCGCAAUCUUUUUACCUCGCGAGCCAAAAUCCUCAAGGGUUGCUCCUCAAAGCUCAAAUCCUCCCGCAGCUCCAUAGGUGUAACAUCCAACACAUGAGCCGGGUCGUGGAUGUACUUCCGAAGGACCGAUACAUGGAAUACAUUGUGUACACCCGAUAGGUUCGGUGGUAGAGCAAGUCGAUAUGCUACCGGGCCUACACGCUCCAAAAUCUCAUAUGGUCCAAUGUAUCGAGGGCUCAACUUACCUCGGAUUCCAAAUCUUCUAAUUCCCUUGGUCGGCGAGACCUUCAAGAACACAUGGUCUCCAAUCUGAAACUCCAAGUUUCGUCGACGCCUGUCAGCAUAACUUCUCUGCCUACUCUGGGCUGUCAACAAUCGCUCUCGAGCAAUGCAAACCUUGUCCUCUGCUUCCUGGAGCACAUCUGGGCCUAAGGCCAAUCUCUCACCAACUUCACUCCAAUGAAGUGGCGAUCUACACUUCCGUCCAUAGAGUGCCUCGAACGGUGCCAUCUUGAUGCUUGCUUGAUAACUGUUGUUAUAAGCAAACUCUGCCAUCGGUAGAUGCUGCGACCAUCCUCCCCGGAAGUCAAUCACGCAGGCUCGAAGCAUGUCCUCGAGAGUCUGUAUAGUACGCUCCGACUGCCCGUCACUCUGAGAGUGAAAAGCUGUACUGAAGUCCAAACGCGUACCCAGAGCGUCCUGUAAGCUCCUCCAAAAGUGGGAUACAAAACGGGGAUCUCGAUCUGAAACGAUAGAAGUAGAUACCCCGUGCAAUCGCACAAUCUCAUCCAAGUAUACCUGUGCGAGUCUCUCACCAGUCCAAGUAGUGUGGAUAGGUAUGAAAUGUGCCGAUUUUGUCAAUCUAUCCACAAUCACCCAAAUAGCGUCAUGCCCGGCCUGUGAGCGAGGCAAUCCCAUCACGAAAUCCAUGGUGAUCUUUUUCCAUUUCCACACUGGAAUCGGUAGGCUCUGCAACUUCCCCGCAGGAACUCGGUGCUCAGCCUUAACCUGUUGGCAAGUCAAACAUCUGGCAACAAACUCACCAACAUCCUUUUUCAUCCCGGGCCACCAAUAAAGUAACUUCAAGUCCUUGUACAUCUUGGUGCCUCCCGGAUGUAUAGCAUACGGUACUCGGUGUGCUUCUUGAAGAAUGUCUUCUUUAAUGCCCAAGUCCGCCGGUACACAAAGCCGUCCGCGGAAACGCAUCAAUCCAUCACCGUCUAAGGUGAAGUCACCAGUGCAACCAUCAACCAUCUUAGUUCGAACCUUUUGCAACUCCGAAUCGGAAGCUUGCUUUUCUUUAAUCCUUUCCAAAAGUGUAGGUUGCACCACCAAAGCCAUCAGCCUCAAAGGCGUAUCAGGAGCCACCACCUCCAACUCCAACCGCUUCAUCUGCUCGAUCAACGGCGGUUGAGUAACCACAAGCAUCGCCAAGUUCUCCGUCGAUUUCCGACUUAGUGCAUCCGCCACCACGUUAGCCUUGCCCGGGUGGUAAAAUAUUGUCAAAUCAUAAUCCUUGAGUAGCUCCAACCAUCUGCGCUGCCUCAAGUUCAACUCCUUUUGAGUGAAUAGAUACUUUAAGCUCGUUGUGAUCUGUAUAUACUUCGCAUCGGCUCGCAUAGAGAUGUGGGCGCCAUAGCUUUCAAAGGCAAAGCCUACGGGCCCGCAACUCCAAAUCAUGGGAUAGGAUAGUUCCUUUCAUAUUCCUUCAAUUGGCGAGAUGCAAUACGCGAUACUCUUCACCGUCCUGCAUUAAGACAUCAGCCCAUAUCCAUUAAAGGAAGCAUGCACUUAUAAAUCACGUACCAUGCUCCCGCAGAUCGGCAAGGUAAAGGAUCGGGCAGUGCGUCAAUCGGCUGCUUCAACUCUUGCAAGCUCCUUUCCUACCGUCGUUCCACCCUGAAAUUUAGGUUCCUUUAUGCGUGAGCCUCGUGAGGGGGGUAGAUAACUUCGCAAAUCCUCAUCAAAUUACCGUCGGUAGUUAGCCGGCCAACCAAUGAAGCUCGUAUCUUGGUCACUCGUCGCCUCGGCCAUCCUUGAAUAGCUUCAAUUUUUCCUCCGGUCCACUGGCUAUGCCUGAUCCAGAAAUACAUGGCCCAAAAAGCCAGCCUCUCUACAGCCAAACUUCACGACUUUUUUCAACCUUGCAUANNNNNNNNNNNNNNNNNNNNNNNNNNNNNNNNNNNNNNNNNNNNNNNNNNNNNNNNNNNNNNNNNNNNNNNNNNNNNNNNNNNNNNNNNNNNNNNNNNNNAUAUGUAUUAAUAUGCAUUCACUUACUAGCAUGGUUUCUUAUCAUAUUAACAUGCACAUUAUAUUUAGCAUUUCUAGACUAUGUCAUCAACAUGCAUUUCAUUCUAUGCAUUAUAUUUACAUGCAUCCUUUAAUACUUAUAUGCAUCAACACGAAUUCUUAAUAUUCUUAGACAUAAGGGCGACCUAGUCGCUUCGGUAAGCACAACCCGGUUUGGCUCGAACUCUCGCACGACCACCCAAACGAUUUCCGAUUUGUGAUCCAGAAAUUAAAGGUCUUCGGUUAUGUGCCACAGUGCUUCAAAUCCGUUUUCAUGAUUUUACGACGUCGCCUCGGCCCUCCAGGCGGAAACGAAGCCUAAACGUCCGUUUCUUUAAUAACUUUGUAACGGCUCGUCGGAUUGCCGAACCGUCUUCGCCAACGCGUUUCGUUACCUAGCAAUUAGGUUUACAUAGGGUCAAAAUAGAUCAAACCCAUCUAUUAGCAAAAAUUACAUUUUGGAGCCCUAGGUUGCAACUAUGCAAGAAAUCAUCAAAUCCCUUCACGAAUUAAGCAUCAAUCAUCUAGAUAGCAUGCUAGGAUUCCUCUAAAUCCAUUUCUAAAGAUCAAAACCACAUAUCUAGAGAUCUACCAUGAGAGGGCUCAAGAAGCUCACCUCAAAAUUAGCUCCAAACCAUGGAGAAGACGAAGAAGAUGAAGACGAUCCAUUUCCAAACUUCAAUCUCCACCAAUUUCCUUGAUUUUAGGAGAGAUUUAGGGAGAGAAAGGGAAGUUCUCUCUCUCCCUUGCUUCAUGCGUGUGUGCGUGUGAUGCGUGUGUGUGUGUGUUGCAUUCGGCUGAGGAAAGAGAAGAAAAGGGAUUAAAUCCCUUUUUACAAAUCAGCCCCUCAACUUUACACUAUUCGCCUCGCGCAGCAGUUUAGCAGUUCGGAACAGUUGGAGUCCUUCUGAAUGUCCUUUUGAGCUCAAAUUUGACAGGCAGGCUCGGUUUAACGUACUGAAAAAGAAUAUAUCUUAAGUUAUCAGUUUCGACCCCAUUUGGUUACCGAAAACUGUACCGAACUGUAAUCUUUAUCAGAUAGCUGUCGGAUUUUAUUUCUCACUCUACAGGUGUCAGAAAAAUAUAAAACUUUAAAUCUAGUCUCAUAAAAAUAUUUCUGACAUCUCCGUCAAUUUUCAUAAUUUUCUGACACUAUGCAUUUUCUGCUAAUUUAUCUGCCCCAUUUUUUACAGAAAAUUCUAAAUCUUCUGUUUUUGCUCCGAUUUCAGCACAGGUCAUUCCCAACUUAUAUUUCAGUUCUCUAAAUCCAAUAAAAAUAGUAUCUCAUACUAUUUUUAUUUAUUUUCACUUUUAUAUUUAAAAUCCGGUAUGUGUUCCACCGCAACCUCACCGGAACCAUUUAAAUAUACACCGUAACUUCAUAGUUUUAGAGGUCUGGUACCUUACAUCCUCCCCUCCUUAAUAAGAGUUUCGUCCCCGAAACUCACUCACUUCAACCCAAUUCACACUCUAAUUCUCUUUAUUGAGUGACAAGGGGUACAGUGCACUUUUGCAUCUCGGAGUGGCCUUUCGCUCAUUGGAACUAUCCAAAGGCCCACUACGGAUGACAUGAGACUAGAUACACUCACAUUUGCCGUGUGUAAGUCCAAAAGUACAUUACGGGUCUCUGUCAUUCUUGGUGGUAGCGCAAGUUGAAACUCAACGACACUACGCGCUUCAACACCAUUCACCACUUGACAUACAAGAACUUUUCUUUGCAUUUACUUUUCCCUCAGGGUAUUACAAUUUGAUUACCAACCUUGCUUGAAGGCAAUAUCAUUGUGCAUCGCUUCAUCGUGAGUGUUCAAAUCGCAUUUGGAUCUUUGCUCUAUCAAGAGAUGGCCCACUCCGGCGCAUCUCGAUUCUGAAUCCAUAAUAGAGCAUUAUCCUCAAGUUCCUCAAUUUCUCCAACAUAACCCAGCCUUCCUGGGCAAUUUCAUAUUCGGGGACCGGUCUCUUCCUGCCUGGGGACCGGUUGCCCCGCGCUGCACAACCCUCAGCCUAGGGGCAACCGGUUCCUCCUUCCUGGGACCGGUCCCCGAGAGCAAGCUUGCGCAGACCAUGUUCGGGAACCGGUCCCUCCCGCCAGGGACCGGUCCCCGAGAGCAAAUCUGCCAAGUGCAGAUUCUUGCACCAUUUGCUCUCGCGGACUCCAUUGCAAUGCACUUUUGGUGCAUUUGACUUCUUCGGCUUUCACGAAGCACUCCCACUCGACAAUUAGUCGAUCCUGAGCGAAGUCCAACUCUCGUAUUUCGAGAAUUCACUUCCUUACUCUAACUCCUCCACAGAGUUAUUGGCUAAACCGUUUACGUCGGCUUUCACAGGCGGACCAAUGGUCGCAAACACUACGUAGGUCUAUCGCCUAACGUGUCUCAACUACGCGUAGCAUUUCCUGCUCGCAACGUAGACCCAAUCCUCAAUUUUCGGGCGAAAUUCUCACUUGGGAAUUCGCGCCCACUCCAAACAGGAGCAACCAAGACCCCAAACCACGUCAAGUCCUCGGGUUGGGUCACAACACACUAGGUGUAUCCUCGAUCUUACGAUCCACCACGUGGCAUUCCACGCACCCGGGUCUAAGCUCGGACUACCGUCCUGACCAACUCUCUGCCCUACCUAUANACUUCAAACAGUGCACGGCUAGGGGCACCUUGUCCCGCUCCAAGGUGUACAGCUCCUCGAAGAGUGUUUCCAUAGCGUCAAUCCACAUCUCCACGAUCCAUGGAUCGACAUUCUCUCCAUCGAAAACAGGCAGAUCAAACUUCUUGAAGGUCAUUAGGGCAGUCAAAGCCCGCUCUUUCUCCGCCUCCAUUUCCACAGAAUCAGAGGCCACUACCCCUGAAUCCAUCACCACUCCUGCCGGUACACGACGUGCUGCUACCGGCGCAGCCGCCGCAGUC